rnacentral:lncRNA from 1 species
UCUCUCUCUUCCUCUGUUGCAGAUGGUUCUGGCAGUCCAAAACCACGUCAUGAGACCGUGGUUUCGACCCCAGAUCCUCCCUGCACCCCCACGCGCGCCACGGUGAGUCACCGGUGCUCCCGAAUCGGCUCACCGUCGCGAGCCUAUUUAUAGCCCCCCUUCGCUCCAGCACCCCUCAUACAGCUUCACCACGACCACUAGCACCUCCCUAGCCACCCAAGCAAGCCAGCAAAGCCCCGGUGCUCGAGAUCGACCGAGGCCCCUCCGCCUCGGAGCUCCGGUCGAUCUCCGGCUACACGUCAGCUCCUGUGUUCCUCAACCCAACAAACUGACCCCCUCGACCCCAGGAAGCUUUCCUGAAACUUCCCUGAGCAUUUCCGUGCCCCUAGAUACCUCCUCGACCACCUCCCCAAACUCCUCCACCGCGGCCUUCUCGUCGCCGGCGAACCCUUGCCUCUCUGUCGUUGUUCCGACCACCAGUAGGUAGGCGGUGUCAUGUCGGCCCCAUUUCUAUCCUCGUUGGGUCUUGAGAACGUCGGCAGCCUCGCCGGCGUGAUCCUCCUCCUCUCUGGACAGAGGUAGGAGACAACCCCGAUAGGUGUGCCCCACCUGUCGGUGGCCCAGCUUCCUCCCCCUCGCUGCCCGCAGCCGCUGACCACAGGGCCCCGCACGUCAGGUUCAAACCUGAUGGCGCACGCGCUUGGGCAGGCUGUCGGCUCGCCUUGGGUCGGCCCGGUUCCAGGCCGAGCCAGGCGAGGGACUUAGCUCAUUUUUCUUUAUUUUUAAAAAUCUGAUUUCAAAGAUUUUAAUAAAAAUAUUUAACCAGUGCAAAAAUAUAUUGUUUCCACUGUUAUUCUUCUAAAAAUAUGUAGUAUUUAAUAAGACCUUGAGAUGAAUUUUUCAACAACUACUCUGUUUUACAAUAAUAAAAAAGACUAAAUUGGAAUAGUUAUCUUCUGUUUGGUUGAUUUUAAAAAUGUUCCUUCAUUGGAAACAGAGGCAAAUAUUUUCAAAAUAACAACUUAGAUUUAUCAGUAAUAAAGAACAUUUUUAAAAUGACUUUGUGAUCUGUUUUUGAGUGAGCUAUUUCUUAUUUAUUCUUUUGACGAUAAUAGAAAAUCCGUGUGACGAGGGAAUCGGAGCGGAAGACCUCGAAGACCCCGGAUACCCAGCUGAUGAAGGCAAGCAACCCUUUGACCAUGAGUGAGCAUAUGUUAUAUUGCAUGUUAAGAUAGCAAGUAUUUCUGUUGCAUAUGAUAAUAAGUGCCGGUAAAUCACUAAGGUGAUGUUACCGAUGACUCCUCCGGAGCACAUGCAUUGAGCUUGAUCCUACCCCCUUUUUGAGGAUCAUGCUAUUAUCAUGUUGACAGGUAAUGCUAGAGUAAAUGGCAUGAGCGUGUUGUUGGUACAAAUCUAAGAUUUAUGAAAACCCCGUCGGGUGCCACUAAUGCCCUAGGGUGAUGAUGAGUUAGGUGACCACUUUUGGUGAAGUGGUGCACCGGGUAUUUCGAGUGAGUAUGGUUUCGGAAAUGGGAUUAGAUUUAUGAUGUGUCGACCAUCCCAACCUUACCAGUACGACCACGUUACCCCUUAUGGGACGGGGCUAUGUUGAUUACUCUGGUCGGUGCUAGCAAAGAGCCACAUUACUAGUGGCAGGAGUGAUGUGUGGUCACUCUCGUGAUGGGGUCAUGCAAGGUAGGACGACUAUGCCAUUUUUAUGAGUUCCAGGCACACCGUUGGUCCCCGCAUGGUUGAUACUGUCCAGAGUUGGUGCUCGUAAGAUGUACAACAUGUGGGCUGGGUACCAAUCGAGUGGACCUCUUUGUCUAGUAUUGUCAGGGGAAAGGCAUUGAUCGGGUACUUACCUCGAGUAUGUUAUAUACCGCGAGUCAUGGAUGACACGUAAGUUUCCGGGAUCUUGUGGGUCCAGCGUACUACCUCUGCAGAGUGUAAAACUAUUUGAAUAGCCGUGUCCACGGUCAAGGACAGUUGGGUGGUGCUGCUUAAACUACGUCCAGUUAUUUCCGCAUAAACCGAGUGUGUGUGAGUUGUGACAAAAGGAGUUGUUAUGAAAGUAAUGAUAUCACCAAGUUGGUGACUUGGCAUAUAGGGUGAGCCCGGAUGGUUCAGCCCUCGACAGAUAUAUUGAUAUCUAUAACCUGUUCUUCAAAAGUAAUUCUUUAACUUGAUGCAUAUUCAUGAUCAUUCCACCAAGAUGAAUUCCACCAAAGUUGCAUGUUAUUGUUAUCCUUCACUUUUUAUGUUCAUAUCAUGGGAUGUUUGCAAGUACAUUCAAAAGUACUCAUUGGCUUGCCACUGGUUAUAUUAUUUACCACACAUGGAAGGACCGGAGUUUGGAGAUGAGUACGUCUUCGGAGACGCCCCUGCGAACUAGGACGCUUCUGAGUCAGAAUGCCUGUCGGUGUAGGCUUGAUGGCAUGGGCACCCGCUUAGCCCCUAUGAUUUCCGCUAUUAGUUGUAUCAGUAUGACUUGGCCUUAGGCCCAACCUUGUGAACUUGACCAUUCGGUCAUGUGAUGUAAUAAUUCGGUACUCGCAUGUAAGACUCUUAUUAUUCAAUAUAUGUGUGUUCGGUGAGCAUUGAUCUCUGGGAUCACUGAGCACGAUCAAUCGGCGAUCUCGACUUGUAAGUCGGGGUCCCCAUAGAGCUGGUAUCAGAGCCGUCAUAACUAUAGGAAGCCUUAGGUAGCAUGGACGAUAGCCAAGACGACUAGUGCACAUAGACGUUAACCUGAGAUUUGCACCCACUAAAAACUUUCUAACCCUCUCCUCUACAUUUUGUAGAUGGCCACCGUAUCUGAGAUGCUUUUGGAGACGAGCUUUCCUCUACUUUUGAGUGAUAGCCUCAAGAAGUGUCAAGUAUGCCACACGCCAAUCUUCCUCUACCACGAGCACUGGGUCAACGCUGACACUAAGGAAUAUCACGUGGACGUGAUAGUCAAGGCUAAUGACUCGGUAUCAGUAUGAUUUGGCCUUAGGCCCAACCUUGUGAACUUGAUCAUUCGGUCAUGUGAUGUAAUAAUUCGGUACUCGAAUGUAAGACUCUUAUUAUUCAGUAUUUCUGUGUUCGGUGAGCAUUGAUCUCUGGGAUCACUGAGCACGAUCAAUCGGCGAUCUAGACUUGUAAGUCGGGGUCCCCACAACAAAUUACCCAGGUCAUCUUGAUUUUCUAGAAUUUGUGGAGUUACAGAAGUAUGGCAAUUAAAUAUAUUACUAUAGACUGUUCUGUUUUAAACAUAUUCUGCUUUUCCACGCAUAGUUUGUCUAUUUUGAUUAUGCUAUGGAUUAUAUCGGGGGGUAUAAUCCAUGGAUAAGUUAUAAUACAAUACCUUAUGCUAAAAUAAAAGUAUAAUCAAUUUAUAAUAAUAACUAAAACUGUUUAUUAUGUUGCCUAUACAAAGAGAUCUCACGAAGUUUUGUUCAGUUUUGUGUGGUUGAAGUUAUCUCGAUGGACCAAGGAAUGAGAACUGACAAGAGCCUAAGCUUGGGGAUUCCCAAGGCACCCCAAGGUAAUAUUCUAGGAAGAUUCAAGCUUCUAAGCUUGGGGAUGCCCCGCAAAGGCAUCACGUCUUUCGUCUCAAUCCAUCGAUAUGUUACUUCGAGCUAUAUUUUAUUCAUCACAUGGUAUGAGUUUUUCUUGGAGCAUCGUUGGCUUUUGUUUAUUUUUUACUUUCAGUUUUCCACAUCAUUGUUUGCUGGAUACACCUAUUUGAGAGAGAGACAACAUCAUCAUGAUUUGUUAGAAUACUCUAUGUGCUUCACUUAUAUCUUUUGAGCUUAUUAGUUGCUCUAGUACUUCACUUAUAUAUUUUUGAGCACGAUGGCGUGUAGAUUUUAUAGAAAUAAUAUGCCCUAGUUCUUCACUUAUAUUUGUUUUAGGGUAAGUAAAUAGUGAUCGUAAUUUGCAUGGGUCAUAAGACUAGAUGGAAAAUAAUGAGUGUUCAAUAAGUGAUAAUCGAAUCCAUCAUGUAGCACAUAUAGACAAAUUGUGGUUAAUAAUAUUGAUGUGAUGAUACAAAAAGGUGUGAGUGCAUAAUUAUUAAUUCACAGAGGUGUUGAUAUUAAGAGAUGUUAAAACUUCUUGAACAUAUCAUAAAUUAAAAGGGCAUGGUGGUGAUGUUUGAGCAUGUCUAUUCCUUGUUGAAAACCUAGUGUUGUUUCGAGUGAGAGUCACGCGAUGGUUAAUUCCUACCAACCCUCUCCUUCAGGUCAUGUGAGUAGUAAUUUGAUAUGUGAUAAGACUAAUAAAAUUUUACAAUAAGUAUAUGAGUUCUUUAUGACUAAUGUGACACCAUGGACAUACGCCAUCUCACCUCCUCAUAUUUGUUAGCCUCUAUAGUACCGCGCAUAGCCAAUUCUCACCUCAAGGAUUGAUGCAACUUUCUCCUGUGCAUCCAAACCCCUUGACAUGAUAUGAUUUGUUGCACAUAAGCCUUAUUAUAUCCUCCUCAAAACAGCCACUAUACCUACCUAUCAUGGCAUUUCCAAAGCCAUUCCGAGAUACAUUGCCUUGCAAACUCCAUUGUUACCUCACAUGAAUAGUUCGUUGAUCAUCAUAUUGCUUUGCAUGAUCAUAUAGAGCGAACAUAGUAUUUUUGGCAAAGGCACCAUUCAUAAUAGCAUUUCUGGCAUAGCCACUAAAUAUCAUAUGCUGAAUACAUGUCAGGAUAGAUCAUCUCACAUACUGGUACACUGCUAGAGCCAUUCAUAUUGGAGUCAUGUUGCUUCAUUCAUGAUAUCGAGUUAUCCAUGAGUCGUAAGUAAAUAAAAGUGUGAUGAUCAUCAUUAUUAGAGCAUUGUCCCAGUGAGGAAAUAAAGAUGGGGGAGGACAAAUGAUCCCACCAUAAAAAUAAAAAUAAAGAGAGAAGGGACUUUGCCACUAUCCUUUACCAAACUUGUACAUCAAAGUGGCACCAUGUUCAUCAUGUAGAGAGUCUCAUGUUAUAUGAUUCGUAUGCUAGUGGGAAUCAAAAAAAUUAUAAACUUGGCUCGUAUAUUUCGAGGAUGGGCGUCCUCAAAUGCACGAGGUCUUCAUGAGGAAGCAAGUUGGAAGCACAACCCACUUACAUUCAGUGGAGCUUUCAUACACUUAUAGCUCUAGUGGAUCAUUUGCAUGGCAACCCCUAGUCCUUGUAUCAAUAUCUAGCAAUGGGUAUCUCCAUAACCCGUUGGUACGCCUAGUGGAUACGAGACUAUCUUCUCCACCUUUCAACCCCGUUGAAACCUUCCACCUCCAUUCCACUUAUAUGUUAUGUCCAAUGGUUCACGCUCAUGUAUUGCGUGAAGAAUAAAAAUUUGAUGCAUAUUGAAAAAGUACGAUUCAAUUUCCUGACUUGGGCACCGUGGUGCUUGACAUUUGUAGUUGUGUGGUGAAGAUGGGGCCAUGCCUUGCUAAUAUAAUAAAGAAGGAAAGGGUUGAAACAAUCUUUGAGGCUCAUGCACUUUGAAAUAUUAGUUGUUUUGUUGCUUAUACUUAUAAAUAUUGUUGUGUUAAUAUUUGUUAAUUCAUCAUUUCUCAAUGAGCAUACAUGCAUAAGAAUACAUCAUGGAGAGGAUGUCCCAUAAAAAUUAUGUUUUAUCAUUUACCUACUUGAGGACAUUUCUCAAUGAGCAUACAUGCAUAAGAAUACAUCAUGGAGAGGAUGUCCCAUAAAAAUUAUGUUUUAUCAUUUACCUACUUGAGGACGAGGAGGAAUUAAGCUUGGGGAUGCUUGAUAUGUCUCCAACUUAUCUAUAAUUUUUUAUUGUUCCAUGCUAUUAUGUUACCUUUGUAGAACACUUUUGACGCACUUAUCUACCUAUUUAUAUUAUUUUUGAGCACUAACCUAUUGACCCACUGCCCAGUGCGAGUUGUUGUUUUCUGCUUGUUUUCCACUUUUCAGGUUCUAGUACCAAACGAAGCCCAAUUGACCUGAAAAGUUUGUGAUUUUUUCUGGAACAAAACAAGACUGUGGAGCAUCGGAAGAAGGCCAGGAGGCGCACGCGGCCCUCACAAGCCAUCAGGGCGCGACCUGGGGGGGUUGCGGCCUGAUAGCUUGUGGCCGCCUCGUGGCUUCCCCGACCCUGUUCCGUGGCAUAUAAAUUCCAAUUUACCCUAAAAACUCCAUAGGAGGUCCCGAAACACUUGUUAUGAUGCCAAAGGUCUCUCUUCCGACGGGAGGCUAUCUAGAGCUCUGUUUCGACACUUUGUCGGAGGAGUGAUCGAUCACGGAAGGCUUCCUCAUCAACCUUGCUGCCCUCAUGAUUAUGUGUUAGUAGUUCACCAUAGACCUACAUGUCCAUAGUUGUACCUAGAUGGCAUAUCUCUCUUUUUGAUCUUCAAUACAACGAUCAUCGCAUCUUCGCUUUGAUCCAUAUGAUGUAACUCUUUUGUACGGUGCGUUUGUUGGGAUCCGAUGAAUUGUGGGUUUAAGUUCAGAUUAUUCAUGAUAAAUAUUUGAGUCUCCUUUGAUAUAUAUAAUAUUAUUCUUAUGUGCAUGAUUAUGAUAGCUUUUUAAUUCUCUCCGAUGUAUUAAAAUAGUUUGGCCAAAUGUGUGUUGUAUUAGGUUCAACCUGGCGAGUUUCUAUAUCCCGAUGACAGAAGGGGAUAAGUUGUGUCUUUGUAUUGCUUCUACUAAGGGUAAAAUGAUUGGGUUUAUUCAUAUUAGUUGAGUUUAAUUUUUCUACAUCAUGUCAUCUUACUCCAAGCGUUACUUCGGCUGUUGUGAACUUAAUACAUAGAGAGGCAAGCAUAAAAACGCUCUUGAAGUGAAGUAAUAGUGCUAGGUGCACGCAGGAGUCGGCCUAUUUGAUUAUGGACGUGUUGCCUAUAUUUACACGAUCAUUGCCAUGAAAAUCGCAUAACUAUCCGCUCUUCUAUUAAUUGCCCAACAAUAAUUUGUUUACCCACCUAAUGCUUUUUUUCAUGACCAAUAAUUUGUUUCAUGAAUAGCUAAGGCCCCCGGGUCUAUUCACAACAUAUUGCUAAAACCUCCAACACCUUGCUGCCAUUUAUUUACUUUAUUUUUUUUACAUUUUACAAUUAUCUACGCACCUCAUUCACUUGCAAAUAACGAGACGAAGGGGAUUGACAACCCUCUUGCCCGUGUUGGGUGCAAGCUGUUUGUUCUUCUGUGUGCAGCCGCUGAAGACGGUUGUGGAUUUAUAUUCCUAUUGGUUCGAUAAACCUUGGUUUCAUAACUGAUGGAAAUACUUACCCAAUUUGUGCUGUGAUUAGUCGUUCCUCUUCAUGGAAAAACCAGCACAGAUCACGAGUAUCAAGGAAAUUUUCUGUUGUCCUACAACACUCUACACUUGGAGGCCCAAGAACUUCUACAAGGAUAAAGUUGUGUAGUAGACAUAACAUGCAAACAUCAUUUUCAAACCCGUAGGAUCACACACUUACCGUUUGGUGACACUAGAGUAUUACAGGGAUAUAUACAUUGAUGAUUGAAUGUUGUUCGGAGUCCUGCAUGAGAUCACAACCAUCACGAGGAGUUCCAAAAUGGUCCGCAGGUAAAUAUUUAUAUAUGUGUUGGGACCCCGAUCCUAAGCCAUAGGAAUCCAGCCUGUAACACAUCGCAUCCCUUUGCGGUCUCACGCACGGUUAACUCCACGGCUGCAGCCUUACCUAAGCCGGGACCGUUUGCGUCUUUUGACUCGCGUAUGCAAUAGUGUCGCUAGCAUUCCAAUGUCAAAGAACCCGGAUCGACAUGUCUAGUCAUAAACCAAAGUGGCAGUACCGCACAAGGACAUGCAUACAUGACCCAACAAAGCAGGUGUCGGUCAUCANNNNNNNNNNNNNNNNNNNNNNNNNNNNNNNNNNNNNNNNNNNNNNNNNNNNNNNNNNNNNNNNNNNNNNNNNNNNNNNNNNNNNNNNNNNNNNNNNNNNNNNNNNNNNNNNNNNNNNNNNNNNNNNNNNNNNNNNNNNNNNNNNNNNNNNNNNNNNNNNNNNNNNNNNNNNNNNNNNNNNNNNNNNNNNNNNNNNNNNNNNNNNNNNNNNNNNNNNNNNNNNNNNNNNNNNNNNNNNNNNNNNNNNNNNNNNNNNNNNNNNNNNNNNNNNNNNNNNNNNNNNNNNNNNNNNNNNNNNNNNNNNNNNNNNNNNNNNNNNNNNNNNNNNNNNNNNNNNNNNNNNNNNNNNNNNNNNNNNNNNNNNNNNNNNNNNNNNNNNNNNNNNNNNNNNNNNNNNNNNNNNNNNNNNNNNNNNNNNNNNNNNNNNNNNNNNNNNNNNNNNNNNNNNNNNNNNNNNNNNNNNNNNNNNNNNNNNNNNNNNNNNNNNNNNNNNNNNNNNNNNNNNNNNNNNNNNNNNNNNNNNNNNNNNNNNNNNNNNNNNNNNNNNNNNNNNNNNNNNNNNNNNNNNNNNNNNNNNNNNNNNNNNNNNNNNNNNNNNNNNNNNNNNNNNNNNNNNNNNNNNNNNNNNNNNNNNNNNNNNNNNNNNNNNNNNNNNNNNNNNNNNNNNNNNNNNNNNNNNNNNNNNNNNNNNNNNNNNNNNNNNNNNNNNNNNNNNNNNNNNNNNNNNNNNNNNNNNNNNNNNNNNNNNNNNNNNNNNNNNNNNNNNNNNNNNNNNNNNNNNNNNNNNNNNNNNGUGUCAGGGAUGUGACAACUCACCCCCACUCAAAAGAAUCUCGUCCCGAGAUUUAGAAGUCGUCGGAAAAAACGCAGGAUAUUCAAGUUGGAGACGAUCCUCUCUUUCCCAAGUUGCAUCCUUUUCAGAAUGAUUUGACCAUUGAACUUUAAGAAACUUGAGGUUUCGACGUCGAGUGGUACGCUCGGCUUGAUCAAGAAUAUGCACGGGGUAUUCUCGGUAUGAAAGGUUAUCUUGGAGAUCAAGCGUUUCGUGGUCCACUUCACAGAUAGGAUCUGAAAAGCAACGCCUGAGUUGCGAGACGUGGAAAACAUCAUGAACCUUGGAAAGAUGCGGAGGAAGUUCCAACUGGUAGGCAACUUCUCCUCGUUUGGCAAGAAUGCGAAAAGGACCAAUGUAACGAGGAGCCAACUUGCCCUUGAUACCGAAACGGUGGGUACCCUUCAAAGUUGUAACCCGAAGGUAAGCCUUCUCGUCAACUUCAAAGGUCACAGCCUUAUGAUGACGAUCAUAUUGGCUCUUCUGACGAGACUGGGCUGUUUUCAACUUUUCACGAAUAAUGCGAACCUGCUCUUCUGCAUCCGGGAUCAUGUCCGGGCCAAAGAGUUGCCUCUCUCCGGUUUCUGACCAAUUAAGAGGUGUUCGACAUCUUCGUCCAUAGAGAACUUCAAAAGGGGCUUUGCCCAAGCUUGAUUGAUAACUAUUGUUAUAAGCAAAUUCGGCGAAUGGAAGGCACUUUUCCCAAUUCAUACCGAACGAUAUAACACAAGCUCGGGGCAUAUCUUCUAGGAUUUGAUUCACUCUUUCUACUUGACCACUUGAUUGGGGAUGGAAAGCAGUGCUAAAAGAUAAGUGAGUCCCCAUGGCAUUCUGAAAACUUUCCCAGAAGCGAGAAGUAAAGAUACUCCCAUGGUCUGAGUUAAUCUCCAGGGGAACACCAUGAAGAGACACUAUUCGGGAGAUAUAUAACUCUGCUAGCUGGCUAGCUGUUAUACUCUCACGAACAGGAAGAAAAUGAGCCACUUUGGAAAGACGGUCAAUGACAACAAAGAUAGCAUUAUUCCCUUUCUUGGUCUUGGGAAAUCCGGUAAUGAAAUCCAUGCUAACUUUAUCCCAUUUCCAUUCAGGAAUAGCUAGAGGUUGAAGGGUGCCAGCAGGCCUUUGAUGUUCUGCCUUAACUCGACGACAAAUGUCGCAGUUAGCAACGAACUCAGCAAUUUCUCUCUUCAUCCUAGUCCACCAGAACCUCUGGCGUAGGUCCUGAUACAUCUUAGUACUACCGGGAUGAAUGGUGAGAGGAGAAUCAUGAGCCUCCUUAAGGAUUAACUGCCUUUGUGGGUUCUUAGGAACCACUAGACGAUUCUGGAAGAACACAACACCUUGAUCGUUCAUGGAAAAUUCUUUAGCGUUUCCGCUAAAAAUAUUCUCCUUGAUCCGUGAUAUACCCUUGUCACGCUUUUGGCCAGCUAUAAAUUGAACCUUAAGAGUAGGCUUCACCACCAGGGUAGAAAGGAAUCCUUGAGGAACAAUAUGAACAUUCAACUUCCGAAAGUCCUCAUGGAGAUGUGGUUGACCUUGUUGUAGCAUCAAAUUGUUACAAUAAGAUUUACGACUUAGUGCAUCGGCCAUAACAUUGGCCUUCCCCGGGGUGUAAGUUAUCCCUAAGUCGUAAUCCGAGAUCAACUCAACCCACCGUCUUUGCCUGAGAUUCAAAUCCGGUUGGGUGAAGAUAUAUUUCAGACUUUGGUGAUCAGUGAAUAUUUCGCAACGAUUACCCAAAAGGUAAUGUCGCCAGGUUUUUAGUGCAUGGACCACAGCUGCAAGCUCAAGGUCAAGUGUGGGAUAAUUAUCCUCAUGUGGACGCAACUGACGAGAUGCGUAUGCGAUCACAUGACGAUCUUGCAUGAGAAUGCAACCUAAUCCUUGUCGCGAGGCGUUGCAGUAGAUAACAAAGUCCUUAGAAAAAUCUGGUGGUAGCAACACAGGUGUGGAAGUCAGGCAUCUUUUCAGUUCCUGAAAACUAUGCUCGCACUGUGGUGUCCACUCGAACUUUUUAUCUUUCUUGAGGAGUUCAGUUAGAGGCUUUGCAACCUUGGAGAAAUUCUCGACGAAGCGGCGACAAUAGCUCGCUAAACCAAGAAAACUGCUAACUUGCUUAACCGAUUCAGGUUGGGUCCAAUCAAGGACAGCUUGAACUCUCUCGGGAUUGACAGCAAUACCCUUACCAGAGAUUACGUGACCCUGAUAGGUCACUUCUGGUAACCAGAAUUCACAUUUUGAAAACUUGGCAUAAAGGCGAUGCUCUCGAAGUUUCAUCAAUACCAGCCUUAGAUGCUCGGCAUGUUCUUGUUCAUUCUUCGAGUAGAUGAGAAUAUCAUCGAGGUAAACCACGACGAAUUUAUCCAAAUACUCCAUGAAGAUUGAAUUCAUCAGUCGAGAGAAGGUGGCUGGGGCAUUGGUCAAACCGAAGGACAUGACGGUGUACUCGUAUUGGCCAUAACGAGUAACAAAAGCCGUUUUUGGAAUGUCCCCGUUGUUAAUCUUGAUUUGAUGGUAUCCCAACCUCAAAUCCAUUUUGGAGAAGACUGAGGAUCCAGCGAGCUGAUCGUACAGGUCGUUGAUCCUGGGGAGCGGAUACUUGUUCUUUAUGGUGACCAGAUUAACUGGUCGGUAAUCUAAAACCAUCCGAUCCGUUCCGUCUUUCUUCUUGACGAAGAGAACGGGGCAAGCCCGGGGAGAAGAGCUAGGACGAAUGAAACCUUUGUUCAAGGCCUCAUCUAGUUUCCUUUUAAGUUCGGCUAGCUCCAGGGGUGCCAUCUUAUAUGGUCUUCUUGCUAUUGGGACAGUUCCCGGAACAAGAUCUAUCACAAACUCCACAUCUCUGUCAGGUGGAAUUCCUGGCAGUUCCUCUGGAAAGACAUCCGGGAAGUCACGGACUACCGGAAUGUCUUCGAGUUCCGGAAGAGGGUUGGCAUUUAAGGAAUAGAGUUGGCAUUUGGCAACUCGAGUAGAGACAUUUACCAUCUCACCCGAGGGAUGGGUAAGCUGGACAUUUCUAGAAUGAGUAUCAAUCUUGGCAUAGUGAGCUGACAUCCAGUCCAUGCCCAAGAUGAUAUUAAUAUACGAAGAUUUCAAGGCUAUCAAUGAGGCUAGAAAAACUAGCCUAUCUACUAGAAUUUCAUUGCCAUAGGUUAUCCUAGAGGUUUGCCAUUUACUACCAGGGGUUUGGACAACCAAUGGAAUUGGCAUAUCACAAAAAGACAUGUUAUGCAACUGUGCAUAACUUUCUGAAAUGAAGGAAUGAGAAGACCCAGUGUCAAAGAGAACGGACGCUGGGUGAUGAUUAACAAGAAGCGUACCCAGCAUGACGUCGGGAUCCUCUGCAGCUUCUUCUGCUGACACAUAGUUCACACGGCCACGUGCAGGAGUUGGCUUCACAUAGUAAGCUUUGCCCGACUUGGCUUGCCCGACGGACUUUCCGGUUUGCUUGGCACCCACAUUCUGAGGACACUCACGGGAAUAGUGCCCUAGUUCUCCACACUUAUAGCAUAUCACCUGGUUGGCACGUGGUGCAGCAUUGCUAGCUGGACCACCAUAAGCUUAUGCUGGAGGAUUGGCCUGAUUCGUCUGAGGCGCCACGUAGGAUGGCCUCGGAGUGUAUCUUGGCGGCAGAGAACUGUUCGGAACCCACAGCCUGCGUUUGGAAAACGCGGAACCAGAAGACGAGCCAAAGUCACGGGAGUGCUUCCUUGUGGCUUCGAAGUCAGUAUGACCAGUCUCAGCACUGAUCGCCUUGUUGACCAGAGCUUGAAAGCUUGCACACUCGUGGAGGCGCAGAUCACAACGAAGCUCAGGGCUCAGACCCUUAGGGAAUCUUGCUUGCUUCUUGGCGUCAGUAGACACCUCCUCUGUUGCAUAGCGGGCGAGAUUACCGAAUUCGCGGCUAUAGGCAUCCAUAGACAACUUGCCCUGAGUGAAGGCACAUAACUCCUCUCUCUUUCUGUACAUCAGGCCCUCUGGAAUAUGGUGCAGACGAAAGGCUGCACUAAAGUCUGCCCAUGUGGCUACUGGUUCAGCGGGACGCAUAGCUUCAAAAUUCUCCCACCACAGAUUGGCGGGUCCUUCCAGGAAAUACGCCGCAAAGGUUACCUUGUCGGCCUCAGACACAUUCGCAGAGCGAAUCUUGCGUGAGAUGCUGCACAGCCAGUCAUCAGCGUCGAGGGGAUCGACGGAAUGAUGGAACUUUGGAGGAUUCAGCUUCACAAAGUCAUUGAGGGACACUGCGGCAUUCCUAGGCCGACAAACCGUAUUCUGCUCAAUACGCUCUAACAGUCGAUUGGUCUCCCUUUUAUUUCUCUCUGCCUCAAGCAUCACUUCCACCAGAGAAGGCGGGUGAGGCAGGUCUUCCUGCGACGCUUGACUACCCUCGCCUUGCUCAUGAGCAGGGGCACGGUUCAACCUGGUGAACACCAUCCUGACAAACAAACUCACAGCUUAGACCAAUAUCAUAUCAAUACUAGCUAUGGAUUAAGAAUGUACUGGACGCACGGAAUGCGGAAAUGAAUAUCCGAGCAGCAUGGUAACAAGCAACUGCUAUAUAUACACCAUGGUUCAUACACACCCUUACAUAGUUCAGUACAACCUUAACCGAAGAGCAAACUACUGAAAUUAUGAAACUACUCAUCAGAGGCUUACAAGCUUCCUACACAUUAUUUAUCUAGGCCUCCGGAAUUCAUUUCACAUUACAUGCAUACUUCACAAGUCAUGCAGGACUGUGAACGUACGGCUACUACCAUACUAUCCUUCCGCUCACUGCUCAGGCAUCUGCAUAAAACAUCUCAUAGAGAUUGCUUCCAUGACCUGGAAGCUCAACCUGCGGAUCAGGAAACACUCUAGCCUGAGAUCCCUGGGAUCCAUAAGGACACGGAUGUGGCCUUGGUCCCCUAACUGGUGGUAAGAGGGGUCCCCGCAGAGGUGUGACUCCUCCUAUAGCUGGCCAGUCAACGUGGGCCGGAAGAUGGGUCCUAACAGGGUUCAGCAUCUCCAUCUCUCCAUACCCUGUCUGGACUACCGGUGUCAGCUGCGCCAAAGCCGUCCACAAACGGGCACGGGUAGCAUAAAGCUCCAUGCGGAGAGCACGAACAUCCCUGUCUCUGUUCUCUAGCAUCUCAACAGUGGACUGCAGUAGUGGAUCCUCCAUAGAAGAAUCAAAAUAGACUCCACUGAGGUAUCCCUCUUCACCAAGCUGAGAGGCCGGAACAUAGCAGAACUCUGAAUUCUGCAGCAGUGCAUGUCUCGCUCUCAUAAUGGUCAGCAUUGAAUAGGCAGCAUCCUGUACUGCCAUGUCAACGGUGACCCCCAACCCAUAGGACCAAUGGAUUGGCUUCUCAGCUCCAGGGUAGUCUGGAAAUACCCUAACAGUGCAGAUGUACUGGCUCUGGUUGAAGUCUCGGUACUGUACCUCCACUGUGUACUCGGGGUACCAGCGGUAACCGCACACCGACAUCACCCUGACCAGCAUGGCCGUAUGACCCGGUACAUCAAUGCACCUGGUCAGACGUACCACCUGACGAGAAGGACGGCCAGGCAUCUGUAAAUAGAGAGUAAUGCAAAAGCAUUAGAGCUCUAAAUGCAAAAUUGGGCAGCAUAACGGCUGUAAAUGCUCAAAACAAAUUUUGAGACAACCCAAAAUGGAAUAGCGUAACCAGUCAACUAUCAAGUUCAACUCUCUGAUCAUCAAACUUACUUCCUUUUUCCUAGGAAUAGAAGAAACCCAAUAUCUCUUGACCCGUAGUCCUAUAAUCUACCGAUCAGAAACACGAGCCUAGAAGAAGAUGAGUAACCUAGUCCUUAAUUCCCGCAGAAAAGACGAGGAUGACCAGAAUAGAAUAACUUGAGAAGAGAACAAGAGUCUUACGUUCCCUUCCACAAACAAUUCCCUUAUAUAUAACUAAAGGAAUUCUAGACUCAACUUCGACCAGUUUGGCUUAGUAAUCCUACAGUCAGUCAGGCUCUGAUACCAACGCUGUCGGGACCCCGAUCCUAAGCCAUAGGAAUCCCUUUGCGGUCUCACGCACGGUUAACUCCACGGCUGCAGCCUUACCUUAGCCGGGACCGUUUGCGUCUUUUGACUCGCGUAUGCAAUAGUGUCGCUAGCAUUCCAAUGUCAAAGAACCCGGAUCGACAUGUCUAGUCAUAAACCAAAGUGGCAGUACCGCACAAGGACAUGCAUACAUGACCCAACAAAGCAGGUGUCGGUCAUCAACGAGUGUAGACGAGUCGUAGCAAGCUACAAGGACUCCAUUACAUCGCGUGACAUUUCCCCAAAGAGGACAGACACAGCAGCUAAGAAGGACACAUGCCGGUCAACUAAUGUGUCCGGAGCAGUAGCGAACUACCAAGGCUCGUUGGAUCACAAAGGGGAAUUUCCUUGUAAGGAAUGCUACUAAAGCUCACGACUAGGUAAUCGAACCCCAUAUAUAUCAAGUACGACACACGUAUGCAUGGCAUACCGAUAUGUAUAGAUGCAUCGAUGGCAUCACAACAAAACCAUAGACAUACAACCUUUAUUUAAGAGGCUCGGAAGAGCCACACACAUAAUAUUACACAUUAAGGGUCUCAUGACCCAUAAUAGCAGUCAUUCAGUUACAAGCCAGCGGAAGAGUUUAAACCGUCUGAGUACAGAUAGGGCAACUAAAGGGCACAUGGCCUGACUAUACUACAGACCCAACGUAGGGCCAGAUCGUAGCUCGGACACCAGCUACUCGUCGUCGUCGAUGUCUACGAAGAACCCUCCAUUAGGGUCAUUAGCAACCUCUGCAACAUUUAUUAAGCAAACAUGAGUACGAAGGUACUCAGCAAGACUUUAGGAUAACUAACUACUCAUGCAAGGUAUCAAAAAGGUAUUGUGGGGUUUCAUGUGGAAAGCCAGCAUUUGACUCGUGGCUAGACAGCUUGCAUUUUAAAUAAUUUUGACAACUUGAUUUCUCGCACACGAGUCCACUAAAACCACAACAAUACACUAUCGUGGAAUCAUUCCGUCUCCAUACGGAAAUGCCAUCCACGACACUCACGCUUAUCUUGGGAAUUUUAUGAGUAGCCAUUGAAGUUAUCUAUGAACAACAUAUGUCUCCAAGUAGUCCAUAUCCGCGGNNNNNNNNNNNNNNNNNNNNNNNNNNNNNNNNNNNNNNNNNNNNNNNNNNNNNNNNNNNNNNNNNNNNNNNNNNNNNNNNNNNNNNNNNNNNNNNNNNNNAUUAAUCUACAUGUUUGGUUUCUGUAACUUUUUCAAACAUGAAUGAAAAUAGCAUAUUCAGAUUCCUUGAAUUUUUUGAUACUUUUUCAUAUAUAAAUUAUUUUCAUUGGAGUUACAGAUUAAUUUCUAUGAUUUUUUGAAGUUUUAAACAUUUCUACAAUUAUUUUUAUACUGGAAAAUACUUUUAUUGCAUCAGCAUGACAUCACCAGGUCGAACUGGACGAUGAAAGUCAAACCUGACCAGUGGGACCCACUGGUCAGUCUCUCAGGUCAAUUUUAGAUUAGGAUUAAUUUAUUUAGUUAAUUAAACCCACUGGACCCACAUGUCAGUGUCUUAUUAUUUUUACUGAUUUAUUUUUAUUAUUUCUAAUCUUGCCAGAGGCUGACCCCACCAGUGAGUGGCUCAGGCCAGCCGAGAUCCACAGGCGGCGAGGUCGUCCUCGCCGGCGGGGAGCCUCCGGCGAGCACCAGACCGUCGGGAGGGCUUGGAAAUGGCGCACAGAGGGCCAAACGCACGGCUGAGACCAUGGGAGGAACGGCCACUCGAUGGCUCGCACGAUGGAACAAGCCCCAGGGGCUGGGGUGGCCGGGAUCAGCGCCGGCGACAAGCUUGGCGGCGACCAAGUUCGGCCAUCGUCGAAGCCAUCGGAUAUGGGGUCAAAACACUCGGGGCUGGGCACCUAACGCAUCUACACGACGUCCUGAGGCUGUUGGUAGCCUCAGACGGACCAGCACUUCACCGAAGGGCUGCCGGCGACGGGNNNNNNNNNNNNNNNNNNNNNNNNNNNNNNNNNNNNNNNNNNNNNNNNNNNNNNNNNNNNNNNNNNNNNNNNNNNNNNNNNNNNNNNNNNNNNNNNNNNNNNNNNNNNNNNNNNNNNNNNNNNNNNNNNNNNNNNNNNNNNNNNNNNNNNNNNNNNNNNNNNNNNNNNNNNNNNNNNNNNNNNNNNNNNNNNNNNNNNNNNNNNNNNNNNNNNNNNNNNNNNNNNNNNNNNNNNNNNNNNNNNNNNNNNNNNNNNNNNNNNNNNNNNNNNNNNNNNNNNNNNNNNNNNNNNNNNNNNNNNNNNNNNNNNNNNNNNNNNNNNNNNNNNNNNNNNNNNNNNNNNNNNNNNNNNNNNNNNNNNNNNNNNNNNNNNNNNNNNNNNNNNNNNNNNNNCUAGUCUGCUCGGGGACGACCUGGAGAGGGAGAACGUCGGCGGCGAUCUUCGGUGACCCGAGGAAGAAGACGACGGUUGCGCGUUGAUUCACUGCAUCUGGGCGUCGGGCUCGUGGCUAGGAAGCUUCACGGGGGUUGCGACGGAGCUAACGCGCGGCUCAGAAGGAAGGGAGGUCUAGAACGACGACGAGCUCGAGCUCUACUCGGGAUCCAAGGGCGGCAGAAGGGGGAGGAGAGAUCCGAGAGGAGGGGGAGAACUGGCGCUGGGAAUGGAUAGGAGCGGCCUCGGGGAGCUUAUCCCCGGCCUUGCCAGCGCGAGGCGGCGGCCAGGCAGGCGCACAGGUGCCUGGCCGUGCCGGAGAACGCGGCGGCCACCUCGUGCUGCCCACUGGCGGGGAGGAAGACAACAGGAGCUGAGAUGGGCCGGGCUAGGUGAGCGACAUGUAACCUCUUUUCCUUUUUCUUUCUGUUUUUGUUUCUGUUUUGAUAUUUCANNNNNNNNNNNNNNNNNNNNNNNNNNNNNNNNNNNNNNNNNNNNNNNNNNNNNNNNNNNNNNNNNNNNNNNNNNNNNNNNNNNNNNNNNNNNNNNNNNNNUGAAAUAUCAAAACAGAAGCAAAAACAGAAAGAAAAAGGAAAAGAGGUUACCUGUCGCUCACCUGGCCCGGCCCAUCUCAGCUCUUGUCGUCUUCCUCCCCGCCAGUGGGCAGCAGGAGGUGGUCGCCGCGUUCUCCGGCGCGGCCAUGCACCUGUGCGCCUGCCUGGCCGCCGCCUCACGCUGGCAAGGCCGGGGAUAAGCUCCCCGAGGCCGCCCCUAUCCAUUCCCAGCGCUAGUUCUCCCCCUCCUCUCGGAUCUCUCCUCCCCCUUCUGCCGCCCUUGGAGCCCGAGCAGAGCUCGAGCUCGUCGUCGUUCUAGCCGACCUCUCUUCCUUCUGAGCCGCGCGUUAGCUCCGCCGCAACCCCCUGAAGCAUCCUAGCCACGAGCCCGACGCCCAGAUGCAGUGAAUCAACGCGCAGCCGUCGUCUUCUUCCUCGGGUCACCGAAGAUCGCCGCCGACGUUCUCCCUCUCCAGGCCGUCCCCGAGCAGACUAGCGCCACCACUGCACUCCCCGUGAGCAUGCGGUCUUUUCCCCUAAGAUCUCCCCGUCGAUCCCCUCCUCUAGCCCUAGUUUCAUCGGAGCCCGACGAGGACCGCCGCUGCAGCCCGUCGCCGGCAGCCCUCUGGUGAAGUGCUGGUCCGUCUGAGGCUACCAACAGCCUCAGGACGUCGUGUAGAUGCGUUAGGUGCCCAGCCCCGAGCGUUUUGACCCCGUAUCCGAUGGCUUCGACGAUGGCCGAACUUGGUCGCCGCCAAGCUCGUCGCCGGCGCUGAUCCCGGCCACCCCAGCCCCUGGGGCGUGUUCCAUCGUGCGCGCCAUCGAGUGGCCGUUCCUCCCAUGAUCUCAGCCGUGCGUUUGGCCCUCUGUGCGCCAUUUCCGAGCCCUCCCGACGUUCUCGUGCUCGUCGGAGGCUCCCCGCCGGCGAGGACGACCUCGCCGCCGGUGGAUCUGGGCUGGCCUGAGCCACUGACUGGUAGGGUCAGCCUCUGGCAAGAUUAGAAAUAAUAAAAAUAAAUCAGUAAAAAUAAUAAGACACUCACAUGUGGGUCCAGUGGGUUUAAUUAACUAAAUAAGAUUAAUCCUAAUCUAAAAUUGACCUGAGAGACUGACCAGUGGGUCCCACUGGUCAUGUUUGACUUUCAACGGCCAGUUGGACCUGCUGAUGUGAUGCUGAUGCAAUAAAAGUAUUUUCCAGUAUAAAAAUAAUUGCAGAAAUGUUUAAAACUUCAAAAAUUCAUAGAAAUUAAUCUGUCACUCCAAUGAAAAUAAUUUAUAUAUGAAAAAGUAUCAGAACAAUUCAAGGAAUCUGAAUAUGCUAUUUUCAUUCAUGUUUGAAAAAGUUACAGAACCCAAACAUGUAGAUUAAUNNNNNNNNNNNNNNNNNNNNNNNNNNNNNNNNNNNNNNNNNNNNNNNNNNNNNNNNNNNNNNNNNNNNNNNNNNNNNNNNNNNNNNNNNNNNNNNNNNNNCCAAACAUGUAGAUUAAUGAAUAAGUCAAUUCUUAUAAUUACUUUAUAAAUGGAAUUUGAAAAAUAUUCAAAUUUCAUUAUGAAUGACAUGAUCAAACAUUGUUCUAAUAACCAACCAAUACCUUAACAUGACAUCUCAUGCAUGUUAACAUCAAGUUGGUAUGAGCAUCAGGUCGAAUCAAUUAAAUCGGUAUCCGAGAAUACCUGGUUUGAAUUGAUAUUCGAAUAUGAUUCAAAUCAAUCUCAAACCUAAUACAUGUUGAUCAUAAUAGUUUAUCACCUUGCAUUCUCAUGCCAUGCCCAUGAUCAUCUUGCUGGCAUAUGAUUGUUAUUGAUUGUUGCCAUUCAUUUCGGUAGGCUCCGCACCCCCGGAUUCCACCGAAUAUCCGUCUGUCGGAUAUUGUCCCUCCUCUGAGCAACAAGGCAAGCAACCCUUUUGAUCAUCCCGAUAAUUCCCAUGUUCAUGCUCCUGCACUUAUUAUUGCAUUAGGAUCAAAUACUUCAACUGCUUUUGCCACGUUAGUUGAACCCACUUCCUUUGCAUGACCUAACCUUGUCACAGUAAAUAGCCGAACCUUGCAACCUAGUAUACCUGGUGGUUGCUUGAGCUAUGAUGUGCCUUAUCCUUCUAUGCAUGCUAUGAUUAGAGUUAUGUAUGGUCUGUCAUCUGGGAGAUGAACAGAAUUGUGAGAAUGUGUUCGGUGAGCAAAGGUUGUGUGUUGAACUUGAUUUGGUAAAGGUACCGGUGAAAGGCUGUGUAGGAGUACAUGGCGGGUUGUUUCAUUGGAACCGUCCUUAGGAACUGAGUUCCGCGUAUGUAAUCCAAGACUAGAUACUACCACAUGCUGGGCCCUGAAAUAUGACCCCGCUCGACCUAUUAAUCGCUUAGUACUCGGUCCAGGAGUUGCAAGUAGUUUUUGGUGUUUAUAGUAAUGCUGGAUGCCGUGCAUGGUGCUGACGUGAGAGGUGGGCCGUGAUGCGGUAGGCAGUGGCACGGUGUACCAAGUGGCACCCGGAUGGUGGGCUUGGGAACCCUGCGCACAUCGUUUGAGGCCGUGGCGGAAACCUCGGCCGGACUUCCGUACGGGUUACUCUCAGAUAGGCGAUAAACCUGGACUAGGUACUAGUGUGGUUAACGGUCGUGGCCGACUCCCUCGCUGGGCUUCCGCUUGAAGGUUGCCGAGGUGCAUGACAUGCACAUGGCGAUAAGUGGCGAGAGCGUGUGUGACGAAGUACACCCCUGCAGGGUUAUGAUCUAUUCGAAUAGCCGCGUCCGCGGAUAUGGACUACUNNNNNNNNNNNNNNNNNNNNNNNNNNNNNNNNNNNNNNNNNNNNNNNNNNNNNNNNNNNNNNNNNNNNNNNNNNNNNNNNNNNNNNNNNNNNNNNNNNNNAGUCUUGGAUUACAUACAUGGAACUCAGUUUCUAAGGACGGUUCCAAUGAAACAACCCGCCAUGUACUCCUACACAGCCUUUCACCGGUACCUUUACCAAAUCAGGUUCAACACACGACCUUUGCUUACCGAACACAUUCUCACAAUUCUGUUCAUCUCCCAGAUGACAGACCAUACAUAACUCUAAGCAUAGCAUGCAUAGAAGGAUAAGGCACAUCAUGUCUCAAGCAAUUACCAGGUAUGCUAGGUUGCAAGGUUCAGCUAUUUACUAUGACAAGGAUAGGUCAUGCAAAGGAAGUGGGUUCAACUAACGUGGCAAAAGAAUUUGAAGCAUUUGAUCCUAAUGCAAUAAGUAAGUGCAGGAGCAAGAACCUGGGAUUUAUUGGAAUGAUCAAAAUGGUUGCUUGCCUUGUUGCUCAGAGGAGUGACAAUAUCCGUCAGACGGAUAUUCGGCGGAAUCCGGGGGAGCGGAGCCUACCGAAAGGAAUGACAACAAUCAAUAUCAAACAUAUGCAAUCAAGAUGAUGCAUGAGCAUGGCAUGAGGAUGCAAGGUGGUAUACUAUUAUAGCUAACAUGUAUUAGGUUUGAAGUUGAUUUGAAUCAAAUUCAUAUAUCACUUCAAACGAGGUAUUCUCGGAUACCAUUUUAAUUGAUUCGACCUGAUGCUCAGAUCAACUUGCUUUUAACAUGCAUGGGAUGACAUGUAAGGUUGCUGGUUUGUAAUUAGGACAGUGUUUGAUCAUGUCAUUUAUAUUGAAAUUUAAAUAUUUUCCAAAUUCCAUCUACAAAGUAUUUAUAAGAAUUAACUUAUUAAUUAAUCUACAUGUUUGGGUUCUGUAACGUUUUCAAACAUGUUUCAAAAUGACAUAUUCAGAUUCCUUGAAUUUUUCUCAUACUUUUUCAUAUAUAAAUUAUUUUCAUUGGAGUUACAGAUUAAUUUCUAUGAAUUUUUGAAGUUUUAACAUUUUUCUGGAAUUCUUUUAAAUCAGAAAACUCUUUAUUUCAUCAGCAUGACAUCAGCAGGUCCAACUGGCCGUUGAAAGUCAAACCUGACGAGUGGGACCCACUGGUCAGUGACUCUGGUCAGUUUUAGAUUAUAAUUAAUCUUAAUUAGCUAAUUAAUCUUACUGGACCCAUAUGUCAGUGACUUAUUAAAUUACUUAAUUUUAUUUUUAUUAUUCCAGAUUAUCCACAGGCUGGCCCCACACGUCAGUGGCUCACGCCAGCUGAGAUCCACCGGCGGCGAGGUCGUCCUCGCCGGCGGGGAGCCUCCGGCGACCACUAGUACGGUGGAGGGCAUCGGAAACUCGCCUCCGACGACCAAACUCACGGCAAAGACCACGGGGAGAACGGCCACUCGGCGGCGUGCACGAUGGGACAAACCCCAGGGGCUGGGGUGGCCGGAAUCAACGUCGGCGACGAGCUUGGCGGCGACCAAGUUCGGCCAUCGUCGAAGCCAUCGAUCACAGGGUCAAAACGCGCGGGGCUGGGCUCCUAAAGCAUCUACGUGAUGUCCUGAGGCUGCUGGUGGCCUCAGACGGACCAAUCCUUCACCAGAGGGCUACCGGCGACGAGCUGCAGCGGCGGUCCUUGUCGGGCUCCGGUAGAACUAGGCCUAGAGGAGGGGAUCGACGGGGAGAUCUUAGGGGAAAGUUGCGCAAGCUCACGAGGAGUGCAGAGGAGGGCUUAGACGGCUCGGGGAAGCACUGAGGGUGACGAAUCGAGCAGAGCUCGCCGGCGGCCGAAGGUUGAAGACGACGGUGCCGUAGGCGUUGCAGGGCUCGGGGAGGCUUCGGCUUCUGCAGGGAGGACUAGCUCGUCGAGGCGGAGCUAACGGCACACUCGGGAGGAAGUUCCUAUGGCUAGGGGCACGGGCAGCUCGAGCUCGAGCUCCUGUCAAUGGCGGCAGAGGGGAUCGGGAGAACCGAGAGAAGAGGGGGAAGAAGGAGCACGGGAAUGGAUAGCUACGUGCUCGGGGAGGUUAUCCCCGUGCUUGCCAGUGCGAAGCGGCGGCCAGGCAGGCAGGGAGCUACGUGGAGGCGUGCGGCGACGCGGGGGCCACCUCCUGCUCCUACUGGCGAGGAGGAAGACGGCAGCGCUACUGGGCCUGGGCUGAGGUGAGCGUCAGGUAGUUUCUUCCUCUAUUUUUUUCUGUUUUGUUUCUGUUAUGCUAACUAAUUGAUUUACUAUUUAUUUCAGCUCCCAAAUAGUUUGUAAAAACUAUUUUAAACACACCAGAAUAUUUGUUGGAAUAUAUCCACCCAUUCCUGGAGUUUUCAAUAUUUUUGAAAACUUAAAGUUUCUGAAAUCAAACUUUAAACAUGAAACCAGUAGCUUUUUGCAUUUAUUUAAAAUGCUUAAAGUAUCAAGAAAAUGGUUUUCUUCAUUGCUUAUUUACUUCGAGGAUUUAUCAGAAAAGUUGAACUUUUCUUGAGGCCAUUUUGGGUUCAUUGAUUUUAACUAGUUUGAAUUUUCCUUUAUUUUGAGAAGUGGCUAGGGUUUUUGAGUUUUCCUUCACCACUUACUUUGUUCUUGUUGCAAUUCUCUUGAAUGCAAUGCAAAGAAGAUAUGAGCACAAUGCUAAACCUUGGUUAGGGUUCCAGGGAUGUGACACACGGCACGAUCCGAGACGUCGGAUCGUGGGCUGUUACCGACUCGGACGUGGGUUCGGCCCACGUUUCUCCGUCCAACCGCCUACAUAAGCAGGCUAACGCCUACCCUAGCCGUCACGAGAAUCAGAUCACAUCUGCCUCACGCGUUCGUUCCUUUUGCUGCUGCUGCCACCGGCGACUCCGUCCCGUUUACCGCGUACACGAUCGAGGGGAGAGCAGGCCUCUGAAACCCCGCCUCUCCGGUUCCUGUACGGGGGAGGGGUGAUUAGGUUUUUGGGGAGCGAUCACACGACUGCUCGCCUCCGUCCGUCUGCUUCGUUUACGUCCGCGUCGUCCUCGUCAUCGCCAUGUCUUCACCAUCCGAGGCCGAUCGUCUCGCCCUUGAAGCUAAGAAGAAGAGGGCAGAGGAUGAUGCUGCGGCUACGGCCGUGGCCAACGCCAACUCUGCUGCUACGGCCAACUGGCCUAUUGGAGGGUAUGACUCGUUUAUCCUCAUGUUCGUAUUUAUCCUAGCAAUACUACUUGUCUGCAUAGAUGUAUCCACUAUAUGCGUAGUAUGUGCUAGGUUAGCUCAAGUUCAGUACAUCAUUAGUCUAGUCAGUGCCAUGCUAGUUAUUAUCUCGUGGAUUAAUAUACUCGGAAAAUUGCCUAUUUACUCAACAAUCCAAAAACCUAAUUUGUGUAGGAAUUUUUCGAGUAAUGGUUUUGCUGCUGCACUGAAACCGGACAAGUUUACCGGCACUUAUUUCAAGCGUUGGCAAACGAGAACCACCUUAUGGCUCACGGCUAUGAAUGUGUUCUGGGUAGCCGGUGUCACUGCAACGGGAACGAUCUCUCCUGAACAGGAGAAGAUGUUCGCGGAGGCCACCGUCCUAUUCCUUGGAGCAGUCAUAAGCGUGAUCGGAGAUAAGCUGGUUGACGCAUACUUACAUAUGCAUGUUGCCAAAGACUUGUGGGAGGCUCUCGAAUCUAAAUUCGGGGCCACCGACGCUGGGAGUGAGAUGUAUGUUAUGGAGCAGUUCCACGAUUACAAGAUGGUUGACAACCGUUCUGUAUUGGAACAUGCUCAUGAGAUAAUAUGCAUAGUUAAAGAACUUGAGGUUCUUAAGUGCAAUUUGCUAGGCAAGUUUGUCGCGGGCUGUAUAAUUGCUAAGCUCCCUAAUUCCUGGAGGAACUUUGCUACUACUCUGAAACAUCAGAGGCGUGAGUUCUCAGUAGAGGACAUCGUCGGCCAUCUGAGUGUUGAGCAAAACUCGAGAGCAAAGGACUCCACUGGAAAAGCGGUGGAAAGCUCUUCUGUUGCCAAUAUGGUACAUCAGAGGAACUUCAAUUCCCACAAGCCCAAGGGAAAGAAUUUUGUCCAACAGAAUACCGACUUCAAGAAGAAGGGAAAGAAGCCUUUCAAGAAGAAUAAGAAGGGAGAUGGCUGCUAUACUUGUGGUUCAUAGGAACAUUGGGCGAACAAAUGCCCAAACAAGUACAAGAAGCCGGCGCAGGACUCCAAGUCUGCCAAUAUGAUUGUGGGCAACAAUGAAAGUGGUGCAUCUGGGUACGGUAAUUUACUUACUGUGUUUACAGUUUGUCAGUCCACCGAUUGGUGGGUGGACACGGGUGCAAAUAUUCAUGUGUGUGCUGACUUAUCAUUGUUCUCUUCUUAUCAGGCCACCGGUCGCGGCGCGAGUGCUUCUGUUCUUGGUGUUGGCAUGGUCGAUCUGAAGUUUACUUCGGGAAGGAUCAUGCAGUUGAAGAACGUGCAGCAUGUCCCCGCCAUCAAGAAGAACCUCGUUAGUGGUUCCCUUCUGUGUAGAGAAGGGUUUAAGUUGGUAUUCGAGUCUAAUAAAGUAGUAGUUACGAAAUAUGGACUUUUUGUUGGAAAAGGUUAUGAGUGCGGAGGUCUGUUCCGCCUUUCCCACGCGGAUUUUUGUAAUAAAGUCGUGAACAAUAUUCAUUCGAGUGUUAAUGAAUCUGAACUUUGGCAUUCACGUCUUUGUCACAUAAGUUUCGGUGUUAUGUCGCGGCUAGCAAAACUGAAUUUAAUCCCGACUUUCACUUUAGCCAAAGGUUCUAAGUGCCAUUCGUGUGUGCAAGCAAAGCAACCUCGCAAGCCUCACAAGGCUGCAGAGGAGAGACACUUGGCACCAUUAGAACUCAUACAUUCUGAUCUUUGUGAGAUGAAUGGUGUGUUGACUAAAGGUGGAAAGAAAUAUUUCAUGACAUUGAUAGAUGAUUCCACUAGAUAUUGCUAUGUGUAUCUGUUAAAUACUAAAGAUGAGGCUCUACGCUACUUUAAAAUCUAUAAGGUAGAAGUUGAGAAUUAACUUGAAAAGAAAAUUAAACGAGUCCGGUCUGACCGUGGUGGAGAUUACUUCUCAAACGAGUUUGAUUCCUUGUGCGGAACACGGCAUUAUUCAUGAGAGGACGCCUCCCUAUUCACCCCAGUCAAACGGGGUUGCCGAGCAGAAAAACCGUACUCUAACUGAUUUGGUUAACGCCGUGUUAGAUACAUCGGGUUUAUCCAAGGCAUGGUGGGGGGAGGCUAUAUUGACCGCGUGCCAUGUCCUGAAUAAGGUUCCUACAAAAGAUAAUGAAGUCACUCCUUAUGAGGAGUGGUCGAAGAGAAGGACGACGCUCUCGUACUUACGUACUUCGGGCUGCUUGGCGAAAGUCAAUGUACCGAUCCCCAAGAAGCGUAAGCUUGGACCAAAGACUGUGGACUGCGUUAAUUUGGGAUAUGCUAAGAAUAGCGUAGGCUAUAGAUUUCUAGUAGUGAAAUUUGAGGUACCUGACGUGAAGGUCGGUACAAUAAUGGAGUCGAGGGAUGCUACAUUCUUUGAGGAUAUAUUUCCCAUGAGAGAUAUGAAAAGCACUUCUAGACAGGAAUCUGAGGUAACUCCCGAGCCUGCCAUUCCUAUGGAAUACUAUGAACAAACACAUGAUGAAAAUCCUGAGGAGGAUGACGAGGAAGCCCGUGGUAGGGGCAAGAGACAAAGGACUGCAAAGACCUUUGGUGAUGAUUUCUUCGUAUACCUGGUGGAUGAUAAUCCCACUUCUAUUUCAUAAGCGUAUGCUUCUCCAGAUGCUGAUUACUGGAAAGCUGCGGUCCGUAGCGAGAUGGAUUCCAUCAUGGCUAACGGGACAUGGGAAAUCACUGAUCGUCCUUAUGGUUGUAAACCAUCGGGAUGCAAGUGGGUGUUCAAAAAGAAGCUUAGGCCUGAUGGUACGAUUGAAAAGUACAAGGCUAGGCUUGUGUCCAAGGGGUAUGCCCAGAAAGAAGAAGAAGAUUUAUUUGAUACUUACUCACCUGUGGCUAGACUGACCACCAUUCGAGUACUACUCUCAUUGGCGACCUCUCAUGGUCUUCUCGUUCAUCAAAUGGACGUUAAGACGGCUUUCCUGAAUGAAGAGCUAAAUGAGGAAAUCUAUAUGCAACAGCCAGAUGGCUUUGUGAUAGAAGGUCAUGAAGGAAAGGUGUGUAAGUUGCUGAAACCUUUAUACGAUCUUAGACAAGCACCUAAGCAAUGGCAUGAGAAGUUUAAUACAAUUCUGACAUCUGUUGGCUUCAUUGUUAAUGAAGCUGACAAAUGUGUAUACUAUCUCCAUGGUGGUGGCGAAGGAGUUAUAUUGUGCUUGUAUGUUGAUGACAUACUGAUAUUUGGAACCAACCUCAAAGUAAUUGAGGAGGUUAAGUCUUUUCUAUCUCAAAACUUUGAGAUGAAGGACCUUGGGGUGGCUGAUGUUAUCUUGAAAAUCAAGCUGUUGAGAGAUGAUGAGGGUGGGAUUACACUUCUGCAAUCCCACUAUGUUGAGAAGAUUUUGAGUCGCUUUAGAUAUUCAGACUACAAAAUUUCUCAAACACCAUAUGAUCCUAGUGUGCUUAUUCGAAAGUUUAAAGGCACAACUAUAGAUCAAUUGAGAUUCUCUCAAAUUAUCGGUUCGCUUAUGUACCUAGCUAGCGCAACGAGGCCUGACAUCGCGUUUGCUGUGAGCAAACUUAGUCGGUUUGUUGCAAACCCGGGCGAUGUUCAUUGGCGUGCUGUUGAAAGAAUUAUGCGCUACUUGAAAGGUACUGUCAACCACGGGCUUCACUAUACGGGAUACCCAUCGGUACUAGAAGGGUAUAGUGAUGCGAAUUGGAUCUCUGAUGCUGAUGAGAUGAAGGCCACUACUAGGUAUAUGUUUACUCUUGGGGGUGGUGCUGUUUCCUGGAAGUCUUGCAAGCAAACGAUCUUAACGAGAUCGACAAUGGAAGCAGAAUUAACAGCAUUAGACACAUCUGGCGUCGAAGCAGAAUUUCUUCAAGUUCUUUUGAUGGACUUACCUGUGGUUGAGAAGCCGGUUCCAGCUAUCCUUAUGAACUGCGAUAAUCAGACGGUUAUUGUCGAAGUGAAGAGUUGAAAGGACGAUAUGAAGUCCAACAAACAUAUAAGAAUGAGAUUGAAGUUUGUCAGACGUUUGAGAAACUCCGGAGUGAUAGCGUCGGAUUACAUCCAAAUGGCGAAGAAUCUGGCAGAUCCCUUUACUAAAGGGCUAUCACGUGUUGUGAUAGAUAGUGCAUCGAGGGAGAUGGGUAUGAGACCCACAUGAGUUGCCAUGGUAGUAACCCAACCUAUAUGAUCGGAGAUCCAGUGAAGUAGGACCUGGGAAAACAAGCCAGUGGUGAACUGAGGAGAGUAACUCUACUAACCCACUCUGUUGGAGAGGCAAUGCUCUCGGAUAAUGUAUGGUAGGAUGACAACUGUCUUAAUGUGUUCUAAAGCUUAUGUGUAAGCAAGAUGCUGUCCUACAGAGCGAUCUUUGGAGGAACACACCUAUAUGAGCUUGACUGCUGGUCACAGUCUAUGAGAUUUGGGUGAUCUCUAGUAAACUCAUGAAUAGGCCAGGAGUGUGACUAAUAUGCUUCACCCGAGGGGUCACCUUCGGUAGUCUAGUACUAGUAAGACUUGUGGUGAAGCUCCUUUAGGCCAAACUGACAAUUCAAGGCAUAGUCCAUUGUUCAGUUGGUAAGGAGUGUAGCUGCUUGCUCUAGGUGAAGCUCAACCUUAACAGGUCUUCACUGAAAUGCGGGUAUAUUAAAACAGUGAUUGGAACGAGGGAACACAAUGUGCCCUUGAGAUCUGGUGGGCGAUUGUUGAAAUUAGUGAUGGGCCUUAGGCCCAUAAGAUAAUUUCAGAAAAAUCUCCAAGGGCCCAUGUAGGUGGUGGCAUGACAAGGUGGUGGGAAGUUUAGUCCCACCCCACUAGUGGAGGAGAAGUUGGACCCCUUUAUAAGGGUCUCUCUUCCACAUGCUAUUGGAGAGUGAGAAGAGAAGGUGCCCUCGCGCACUCCUCCUCCGUCGCCACCCGCCUCACCACGCCUCGUCACGACGCGCCGCGGGUUGCACGAAUGAGCCGAGCCGAGCUCAUACCUACACGCUUAUUUUUGUCGGUCAGGAACGGAGAAUACGUAACGGACACGGCAAGAUCCGAGAUGUCGGAUCGUGGGUGUUACCGACUCGGACGUGGGUUUGGCCCAAGUUUCUCCGUCCACCCGCCUACAUAAGUAGGCUAACGCCUACCCUAGCCAUCACGAGAAUCAGAUCACAUCUGACUCACGCGUUCGUUCAUUUUGCUGUUGCUUCUGCCGGCGACUCCGCCUCGUUUACCGCGUACACGGUCGACGGGAGAGCAGGCCUCCGAAACCCCGCCUCUCCGGUUCCUGUACGGGAGAGGGGCGAUUAGGUUUUUGGGGAGCGAUCACGCGACUGCUCAACUCCGUCCGUCUGCUUCGUCUACGUCCGCGUCGUCCUCGUCAUCGCCAUGUCUUCACCAUGCGAGGACGAUCGUCUCGCCCUUGAAGCUGAGAAGAAGAGGGCAGAGGAUGUUGCUGCGGCUACGGCCGCGGCCAAUGCCAACGCUGCUGCUACGGCCAACUGGCCUAUUGGAGGGUAUGACUCAUUUAUCCUCAUGUUCGUAUUUAUCCUAGCUAUACUACUUGUCUGCAUAGAUGUAGCCACUAUAUGCGUAGUAUGUGCUAGGUUAGCUCAAGUUCAGUACAUCAUUAGUCUAGUCAGUGCCAUGCUAGUUAUUAUCUCGUGGAUUAAUAUACUCGGAAAUUUGCCUAUUUACUCAACAGAAGAAAGCACGACAACGGAGGAGCGUGGGAAACGGCGUCUGCAUUGUUAGGAUAGGUAUAGCAUAGCGGAACUGUGGAUGCAGCCAGUGGAACAUGUUCAGCACCUGAUCACGGUCGGUGACGGACGCAUCGAGAUCGGCGAGGUGAUCGGCGCAGUCCUUUAGACGAGCAAAUAGGCGAUGAUGGAGGACGACCCUUGCUCGAUGCGCCGGUAGUCCGUGUAAAGGAAGACGAUCUAGUGCUCGCUGUUCUCGAGGAAGGGAGUGCAAAUGGUGGGUCAAUAGCUCCACUACGACACAUUUGAUGCGAAUUGGAUCCUGUGCAACAUAUUUGAUGCGAAUUGGAUCCUGUGCGAUGUUUCUCUGGCCCAAAUAGCCAAAGGCCCACUCGGGCGAUUAAAAUGGUCGUCAACGGGAGUGAGGUUAUGUUUAAGACAUGUGGGUCCUACUUGGCAGAUUGUCGACUUACGGCCCCACUUGACAGUGCAUCUACUAACGGGCCCCACUUGACAGUGCGUCUAUCCCCCCCGUGCCUGGCCUGUCUGUCUGAACCACCCGUCUGAAGCUCUAUUGCUCCCGGCGGUGAGCCGAAGACGGCGGCGGCGCUUUUGUUGGAGCAGCGGAGCUUUCGAUCUCGGCGACGGCGGCGGCUGUGGUGAGUGAAUCCGGAACCCUUGUCGAGCCCGUUCCCUUCAGUGUCAUCUCACUGCAGUUCCUGUUUCCCUCCUUUGUUUUUUUGGGCGAUUUGAUCUAGAUUUGGGUGGGGCGGAGGGGGGCUAAAGGUGAUGGAGCCUCCAGAGACAACAAUAACGUUGACUAGGUAAUAUGUGCAUCCUUUCCAUCCUAUGCGAUGCCUCGUCUGCUUCCGCUAGCUCACAGUGCGCGCCAUUGAAAAACAGGGCCGGUGAUGCUCGGACAUUUGAAUUCACUAUCGAAUUCUUUCCUUCUAAGGCGAAGCUAGGUGAUGGUAGCUUGCGGGACAUAGAGGGAGAUACUGUUGUGAAAUGGGAGGUUGAAUUAUCAGAGAUUGAUCCACAAGAACUACAGAGCAUGGAAGAGAAGGCCGUGAGGAAUGUGGUGGAAAAAUUGGGGAGAGCAUUUUUUGGGGUCCAGAGCAAGAGGUAGCAUUGUUAUGGUUUGCUAAUUGGAAAGGAGAGUAUGUGAGAAUUGAGGAUGGUGAAGAGAUGGUUGAUGAAAUCGAUCGACAAAAUGGAUGGACAACCAAACAAACUACGUUUCGUGCAGAGCUGGUUGAUCUGAAAUCAGAUUCUAAGGUUGGAUAUGUUCCCUCAAAAUUGGCUGCACAAAUGGUAGAUGAUGAUUGGGCUUCAGAGAGGCAGAUAAUGCCCAUGUGUACGGGUGAGGUGACAGUAUUACAUGAGGGGGCUGAUGCAGAUCCACAAGAGGGCUCUGAUGGUGUUGCAAGGGUUCUUUCUGUUGAUUGGAAUUCGGUUGAAUUAAAUGAACCAACUGAUUUAGUCAUUGCACCAAUGGAUGACACUGAGAUGGCCAAAUUUUUUGGCAUUCCAGUACCUGAUGAAGAUAAGGAAGAGAAUGAUAAAACUACUAACCCGCUUAUUGAUGCUCAAAGAGAUAUAUGUGAAGAUGUGGAUGGAAAGCUGAUGGAAGAUGCUGCAGAUGAUGUUGAUGAUGCACAUGAUGAUGAGUUGGUAAAUGUCUAUGACAAGGAAAACCCUGUUAUUGCAGUAGGGAAGUUGUUCCCAAACAUGGAUGAAUUUAGAAUGUGUUUCAAGACUUAUGCCGUCAAACAUGAGUUUGAUGCCAAGACGAAGUGGACUGACAGAAAAAAGUUUUAUGCAAGAUGCAGAGGUUUUGAUGGAAGUGUCAAGCCUUGCAAGUGGUACAUAUCUGCUAGACGCCAACCUAAUGGAAGUACCAUUAGUGUCAAUCAAAUCCCACACCAACAUACUUGUAUUACAAGUUCACACAGAGUAUCAACCAUGACAUCACAACUUUGGAUUGCAGAAAAGAUCACUCCUAUUUUAGCCAAGAAACCAAAUACUACUGCAAAGAAACUUAAAGUAGACUUGGAAAAGCAGUACCCAAUUAAGGUGAAGUAUAACACAGUGUGGAAGGCAAAGCAAAGGGCAAUGGAAGAAUUAUAUGGUGACUAGGCAAAUACAUUUAGGAUGCUUUAUAAUUUCAAAGCAGAGGUGGAGAAGAGGUCACCGGACAGUGUUGUGGAGAUAGAUACUGAGGUAACACAGGAAGGAAGAGUCCUUUUCUCAAAGUUUUUUAUGGCUUUAAAGCCUUGCAUCGAUGGCUUCAAGGCAGGUUGUCGUCCAUAUUUGAGCAUAGACUCAUCGUUUUUGACCGGCAAGUGGAAUGGUCAAUUGGCAGCUUGCAAUUCUUUAGAUGGACACAACUGGAUGUUCCCUGUUGCUAUUGGCUUGUUUCAGUCAGAAACAGAGGUCUCAUGGACAUGGUUCAUGAUGCAGUUGAAGAGAUGCAUAGGUCCAGUGUCACCUUUGGCAGUCCACACAGAUGCAUGCAAAGGGCUAGAAAAUGCAGUCAAGAAUGUCUUUCCCCAUUGUGAGCAGAGAGAGUGCUUCGGCCAUAUGUGGAUGAAUUUGAUCAAAAAGUUCAGAGGGGGAGAAUUUGGUCGCAUGUGGCCAGCAGCAAGAUCUUACACUAAACAGACAUAUUCAUAUCAUCUUGGUAAGAUAAUGACAACAUGCCUUGAAUUUGGUCCAUGGGUGAACACCUACCAUUCUCUAUUAUGGUAUAGGUCAGGAUUUAACACUGCCAUCAAGUGUGAUCAUAUCAACAACAACUUGGCAGAAAGUUUUAACAACAAGGUGAAGCAGUUGAAAAACCUUCCUGUGCAUGACAUGGUUGACCAAAUCAUGAUCAUGAUCAUGCGCUUGUGGGAAUUGAGAAGAAGGAUUGGUGAUUGUCUGCAAGGGGACAAGCUUCCUGCAGUGGUACAACAGGUGGUCAACAGGAGCAGAAAUCCUGCACAUUUAUCUCUGGAAAAAUCUUCUGUGUGGGGUGCUGAAGUUAGAGAUACCAAAAGUGGUAGAAGGCAUGUUGUUAACACUGAAAUGCAUGAGUGCACUUGUUUGGAGUGGCAACACACUAAGAAACCAUGUGAUCAUGCCAUACUUUUCUUGGCCUCCCGACCAAAUAUAAACAUGCACCCUUAUUUGCACGAAUAUUACUUAGUAGCAAAAUUCAAGGCUGCAUAUGGAACUCCAAUUCCAGCACUUACAGAUCAGUCUCAGUGGUCUGAAGUGGACAUAGAAUUUUCCAUGUGUCCUCCCCUAACAAAAAGAAAGGCUGGUAGGCCUAAAGAGAGAAGAUUCAAGGCAUGGUUUGAGAGAGGUGGGAGUAGUAAAAAAGGGAAGGGAAAGAAGGAUUGAAAACCAAAAAGGUCCCAGAAAGGUAACAAAAAUAGAUGCAAGUUGUGCCAGGAACUUGGGCACCGAGAUGGAUCUUCCAAGUGUUGUUACACUCCAAAAAGGCCAAAGUAUGUGUGCUAAUGUUUUUUAUGUUUACUAUUUGGCUGCAUUUUUCAAUUACAAACCAAUUGACAUGCUUAAAUUUUUUAGGAGGAAGUGUGCAGCUGAGCCCCUUGUUGUUGAAGAUUGCUGGCCAAAGAAAAGGAAAAGAGGCAAUGGUUGUAGAAAAAAGAGAAGUUAUGGUGAAACAAUGCAAACUGAGCAAAAUGAGCAAGACUUGGAUGUGCUGAAAAAUGAGCAACAAGACUUGGAUGUGUUCCAAAAUGAAGAUGUGGUCCAAAAUGAGCAAGACUUGGAUGUGCUGCAAAAUCAAGAUGUGGUGCAAAAUGAGCAAGAUAUGGAUCUGGUGCCAAAUAAUUAUCUUCCAGCUGAUGUUGUGCAAGCUAAGCCUAUAUUAGAAGUUGUGUUGCCUAACCCUGUUUUUCCAGAAGAUGUGGUGCAAAAUGAGCAAGAUAUGGAUCUGGUGCCAAAUGAUUAUCUUCUAGCUGAUGUUUGCAAGCUGAGCCUAUAUUAGAAGUUGUGUUGCCUAACCCUGUUUUUCCAGAAGAUGUGGUGCCAACUAAGCCUAUAUUGGAAGUUCUGUUGCCAACUGAGCUUGAUGAUAUUCCAGCUGAUGCAGUGAUGAAAACCAAGAGCUUGAGUGAAGUGGGUAUAGUGGUAAAGAGAAGCACUGAUAAAAAGAAGAAGAAGAAAAAGCUGAAGUGAAGUGAACUCGGUGUUGUACUAUGCUAUAGAAUAAAACUUUGCGUGAGACAAAUUUCCAGUUUGAGACAAAAUUCAAAUUUGAGCCAAAAUUCAAAUUUGAAGUUAUUUGGUAUGUGGUAUGCUGUUGUAUUUUUCAUAUGAAAUGUAUUUGUGUAAUACUAUUCAAGUUUGAGACAAAUUUCAAGUUUGAGACAAAAUUCAAAUUUGAGCCAAAAUUCAAAUUUGAAGUUAUUUGUUAUGUCAUAUGGUGUUACAAUGAUUGAUGUACUAUUACACAUGUUAGGUGAUUAAUCGGGGAACUUUUAUUAUGUGAAACUUUGGACAUGAAAAAUGUGCUCCAAAUGAGCUCCAAAACCCCCUCCAAGCCCCCCUCCAAAGCCCCAUUUGUAAGCAAGUUUUUUUUUACCUUCUCCAAAUCAGCCAAAAAAUGAAACUUGACAUAUUAGUCAUAUAGAAAGAUGAUUGGCACAAGUUUUAUAUUUUUUUGAUUUUUUUUGAAUUAGUUAUAGCCAACCCUAACUUUUGAAACACAUACAACCUUGUAUGUGAUAGCCACUUUUGUGAACAGUUUUUCAUGAAAAACUUCAUAGUCCAAGUUUACUAUUUUUCCUAGCAACCUAGUCAUAUAGAAAGAUGAUUGGCACACGUUUUAUUUUAUUUUUUUUGAUUUUUUUGAAUUAGUUAUAGCUAACCCUAACUUUUGAAACACGUACAACCUCGUAUGUGAUAGCCACUUUUGUGAAGGGUUUUUCAUGAAAAACUUCAUAGUCCAAGUUUACUAUUUUUCCUAGCAACCUAGUCAUAUAGAAAGAUGAUUGACACAAGUUUUAUAUUUUUUUGAUUUGUUUUGAAUUAGUUAUAGCCAACCCUAACUUUUAAAAACCGUACAACCUCGUACGUGAUAGCCACUUUUGUGAAGGGUUUUCCAUGAAAAACUUCAUAGUCCAAGUUUAUUAUUUUUCCUAGCAACCUAGUGAUAUAGAAAGAUGAUUGGCACAAGUUCUAUAGUUUUUUGAAUUUUUUUGAAUUAGUUAUAGCCAACCCUAACUUUUGAAAACCGUACAACCUCGUACGUGAUAGCCACUUUUGUGAAGGGUUUUUCAUGAAAAACUUCAUAGUCCAAGUUUAAUAUUUUUCCUAGCAACCUAGUCACAUAUAAUGAUGAUUGGCACAAGUUUUAUAUAUUUUUGAAUUUUUUUGAAUUAGUUAUGCUCUACCCUACCCCUUGAAAACCUCUCAAAACCCCUCAAAACCCCGACCAAACCUCUCAAAACCCAGCACCCCAUCGGACCAUUGGAUCGUCAUGAAUGGACGGUCUCGAUCGCGCAUUAGGGCUACGUCAGUAGCGAUCCGUGGCCUUCACUCUGAUUGGCUGGCCUUUUUAGCCCUCUUUUUUAUUGCUGGACGAGAAGACGCGUGCUUGCUUUGUUGGGCUUAAUUAAAGGCGGCCCACCCUUUUAUCCGUUGGACGAGAAGACGCUUACCAGCCUUGCAUGCAUGGGGACUCGCAUGCAUGCUCGUAGACCUACCUCCUCCCGCUCGCCCGUAGCCCUGCCUCCCCUCGCUCGCCCGUUGGACCGACUCUGCAUGCAUGCGCAUCGAUUGAGCGGGAGCACGCCCGACUUCAUAGAGAGCAUCAACCCGACCGACGCAGCAGAGGCACGCAGGGGCUCAGCCAUGCAGAAGCUCGUCGCCCAACCCGACCGACGCAUCAGUCAUCUUUCGGCUCGUUUUAAUUGCUCAUGUGCGACGUGUACCCUGUUUUAAUUGACCCUGUGCUACGUGGGGUGUGUACACACUCGAUGCCCCCUCGAUGCCAUGCGGUAGCCGUUUAACACUGAUGCACACCAUGGCUAGCAUCCCUAUUUAAGCACGGGUUUGAAGCACCCCCUAACAUCAUCUUCUCCCACCGUCUCCUAGUCCAUCUUCUCCUUCUUCUUCAUCUCCUAGUCCAUCAUAUUCUUCAUCUCCUAGUCCAUCUUCUCCACCUCCAUGCCGGAAUAUGAACUACUACACCGGGAUGACCUACCGUGUGCCACGCACCGUCCCCGAGAUGCUCUACCCUCCCCAAGUCCAGGUGGAGAACACCCUACGGGUGUGGGCGAUCUCGAGGUGGAGGGGUGCAAGGGCGCUCACCGAGUUCUUCCUCUCCGCCGGCUACCGCCACCUCCCCAGGGGUUCUCCGGUGAUGUUCCACGUGGAGGAGCUGACCAAUAAUGGCUAUCCUAUCGGCCUUAUUGUGAGGUUCACCAACAACGUCGAUGCUUACAACCUCCUCGGUCGUGUUUUUUGGUGUGGAUGCGAGUUUAUCGCAUUCACAACAUACAACAUCUUCACGGAUCUGGACAACAUCUUCCCCAACGGCAGCAUGCACACUCUCCCGUACCGCACCGACGGCGACGGCGAGUGAAGGAGGCCUUGGAGCUUGGAGCACCCGAUGGUGCCAUGGGGAGGAGGAGGAGGAGUUAAUUUAUCUAGUUAGGGUUUAGGGUCUUAUCUAUCUAUAUAUGUAAUCGUACUAUAUAUCUAUGUCUUACUUAUUUAUCUAUGUAAUGGUACUAUAUGUCGUGUUCAUAUAUGUUGUAUAUAUCUAUGUCUUGCUUAUUUAUCUAGGGUACCGAUUUAUCUAUGUUCUAUCUAGUUCAUAUAUGUUCUAUCUAGUUCUAUCCAGUGCAUGCAACUGAAUGCUCGCGUUCCGGUCAAAAAUAAUAAUAAUACUUCUGUAUUUGGGUACACUCUGUAUUUGGGUCUCUGUAUUUAGUGUUAGCGUGUUUUGCAAGCGUUGGCCGUUUCGGUUUCCGAGGCAGGCUGGUGUAAAUGGGGUACCCGUGUAAAUGAUGAAAAGACCACACACCAACCCACCGUCUCUUCGCACCACUCCCUCAUCUCCUCCUACACAGAAACCGCCGUCCUCUGUCUCUUCGCUCUCUCCCCCAUCUCCUCCAACACGACGCAACCUCCGGCGCCAUGGACCAGAGCAUUGCCUGGCAGAAGGCCAUGCAAGAUCUCGCCGGCAACAACCAAGAGAUCCGUGAGCAGCUUCGUGAAAUCACGGGCUGGUUCCCAAGCAUUGAGAUGAUGCGGAACCAUGCCCGUGGUCUGAUCAAGGUGAUGCGAGAGGACGAGAAGCUCCGUGCCUUCCCCCCGGCUACUGCGUCCCACCUUCCUCUGUCCUCCUUUGGGCGAUGAGGGAGGUGCAGCGUACCACCGACCCGACGCAGCGCGCAAGGUGGUGGAUGUACCGCUCAUCCAGGAUGACGGCACCGCAGCCGGAUCCUACACAUUUUGCCUCGAGGAUGGAGAGGGUGAGUGAUGUUGUCCUCGCGCUGCCGACCGCCGUCCUCGACCGUGAAGUGCAAAUCAUUCCGCCAGUCUUCACUGGCGGAAACAAGAAGAAGAAGCCGGUGGUGCGCCGCUCAGAGCACCUGAAGAACCUCAAGAAGAACUGAAGUGCGCCGUCAGGGGCUGUUACUGGUUAGGUAUGCUGCUAUAUGUCAGCAUAUAAGUUAGAACUACUUUUGGUAUAUGGAUGUAAGCUCUGGUUGGAUGAACUGUUGCUGGUGUUGGCUGUACGAACUGAUGCUGCAGUUAUUUUUUGGUGCGAUUUGUGCUAUCUUUUAUCUGGGAUGCUAUCUGUUGUUGGAUGAACUAUUUUUUAUCUAUUUGCUAUCUGUUAUAAGGUAAAUUUCUGGUGCUAUCUGUUAUGUUAUCUGCUAUCUGUUGUUGGAUGAACAACAAUCGAUUUACAUCAGUGUCUCAACCAUGAACUUUGCACCUCCACUCUGUUUUUUGAACGAGAUGCACCUCCACUCUGUUAACUGAAGAAUUGCUGCGCAUUAUGAAUUGCUGCAUUUUUUUCAUCAAUUGCUGCAUUUUAAAAUAAUCCAUUACAAACACACGCAAGUUUUGCUUCACAUAAAUUCAAAUUCAGCUAACAAAUGAAACUAGAUUGACACACUGACUGAAACUAUAACAAUUUCUAGUGAUUGAUGAACAUCAAGUAAAAGAAACCCAUAGCAAUGACACAGCAAUAAAAUGCUCCAGCCAUCAUAUUUGCUUACUGCUUCAAAUAAAUCAGUUGCUUUAGUUGCUUGCCCAUUUUCUUCAAUUCACACCCCAGUUCAGCUUGCCCAUAACAAUGACCUGAUCUGUCCGCCAAAUGGGGGGUGUGUUCCAUAGCAAGCGGUGCCCCAAAAUUGAGCCCUUCGGUUGAUCCCUCCAGUUUCAACCUCUCAACGUACUCAUCGAGCCACUCGAAAUACCCGCAUUUCCGCAGAACCUGAAAAAUAGGGGUCGGCAGCUCAUGAACUCUAGAUCCAACCCUAGCUCCAUCGCCCAAAUUUGACAAAAAAAGAAAAAAAAAUGGGAGAAAUAGACCAUACGAUUGGUGAAGUAGACAGAUCUAACCUGCCCCGGCUGUGGCCUGCUCAAGCAUUUCACGAAGUCGCGCCCACGGUUGCCAUUUUCUUUCCUCAUACAAGCCAGACGCUUCAGAGGCUCCAUGCGUGGGCAAUCGGGGCAUCUUUUAGCGGCACUGGACCGUACUUCCUCCAUUGGCGGGAGGCCGAGCUCGAGCUAGACAUCACUCACCGGCGACGCGCUUCCUCGCCGGAGAAGAGGAAGAAGAAGGUGGGGGAAAGGGAGGAAGGGCAAGCAAUGGGGGCGGGGAGGAUGGGCUGGCUCGGGUCCGGGCACGCGGAUGAGCACGACCAUGCUUAUGUGGAUAAGUUGUGGGUCCCGCACACAUGCGAGUAAGUGGUGGGUCUCAUGUUGACGUGGAUAACUGGUGGGUCCCACGUGUCAUAACUUAACCCCUUGAGUUUUGCAUUUCAUGGUUAAACAGAGCCAUGUCGCAUUGCAGCUAUUGUUUGCUUUAAAGAUGUCGCACCAGAGCAAUUUUAAUCAACAACGUCGCACUGCUUCCAUUCCGCGUCAAAUACGUCGCACAGGAGCUAUUGACCCGCAAAUGGUGGACCACACAUUGGCGGCGGUCGCACCACGCUGAUGAAUGAGGUCGAAGAUCUUGGUGAUGACGCAGUUGUAGAGCCAGGACACAAGGUGUGCAUCGUCUUGUGCCCACGCGGGGUCGGAGGCACGCGACGGACCAGUGAGGUGCUCCUGGACGACGUACUUCUGGAACAUGACCUCAAACAAGGUAUGCCAUUGGGAGAAGUUGAGAGGGGGGUGUUGGCUUUUCGCCCUCAGGAUCGAACACACGAUCAGCGCUCAUGCAAACACCGGGACCAGAACACACGCACGCGAACGCAGCAACACGAAGAUGGCCAGAGGCACGUGUCGUACCUCGUAAUAAUCUCUUUAUUGUUUUUCACGUUUUUCUGGUACAAAUCUCACACACCUUGCCUGCGUUUAUAUAGGUAUACGCAGCAGACAAAUCUCUAACACAAGCACAUACUCGUACUCCAACUUUAACUCCGACUACUACUCUACUCGGAAUGAGAUGCCAAGUCCAACCCGACAGCUUAACUUUCCUAUCUUGCUCACGUGAGCACACAAACCCAAAUAGUUUCCUAGCUGAAUAAAGCGGCAAGCUGAUCAAACUACUAGUCCUAAUCAGUAUACGUUUGGAUUACUUCAACAUUCACCCCCUAAUCCAAACACUCGACUCAUUGACUUGGAACCAACACAUCGUUUGGAUUACCAGUCCACGCUGUCACAUCUUUAGCGUGCUACAUGCAGACUAAACACAUAGCCUCUCAUGUAGGAACUCAACUUAACUGGUGCACAUCCAUCUUCAUGCUGGCCUUCGUCUUCUUGCCGAAACACACUAACGACUCAGACAUAAGAAAAAACUAAAGACACGACUCUUUUUUGUUUUUUUUUCUGCCGUGGCUUCUUCAUCAAAGCAACCCUGGGCCGUCAUCCACAUCCACUUUAGCUAGUUGCAGAAUCUCGUGCUCCUUCUUUGCCUCCUUCCGCGGAUUAGGACACUCUCGAGAAUAGUGUCCAUAGUCCUGACAAUUGUAGCAACGAACUUUAGAUUUGUCGAACUUCCGGUACUUCUGCUUAUUAUGCAAGAACAUCAACUGCUCCUCUUCUUGGUCGCGUUCACGUCCCUUCAACGUCAACUCAUAGGUCUUUAGCCGCCCGAUCACCUCCAUCACCGACAUCUUCGUCACAUCGCCCCACUGCUCGAUGGUGCCAACAAUCGGUAAAAACUUGUCGGGAACGGCUCGUAGUAAUUUCUCCACAACCGCGAUGUCUUCCAUCUUUGAUCCGAGAGCUCGCAUCUCAUUCACUAGGGAGGUUAGUUUUAACGCAAAUUCACCAACCCCUUCUGACGCCUUCAUGCUCAUCCUCUCGAACUCCCUCCUUAGAGCUUGAACACGUGCCUUCUUGACACGAUCAUCUCCAGCAUGCAUCUCCUUGAGCGCUUGCCAAGCUUCUUUUGCCGUCUCUUUCUCCGAUAUGGACAUGAAAACAGCAUCAGACACACCUUGGGCUAUGAUGGCGAAAGCUUCUUGGUCCUUUGUCUCUUCGACCGUGCCUUCACCUUCCACCGCUGCCCAAACUCCACGCGCACGCAUGAAGAUCUUCAUCUUCGCAGCCCACACCCCAUAAUUGUCACCAUCAAGCAUGGGAUACUGGAUGGUCACACCACCACCACUCGCCUUCGAAGUCGACAUGAUCCUCUUCUUAGAUUUUCCGUCGUCCGUGACACAACUUGACGGCGACGACAGCUCCACCGUGACGCAACUUGACGGCGAAGCCUCCACACCUUGCUCUGAUACCAAUUGUUGGCUUUUCGCCCUCAGGAUCGAACACACGAUCACCCAGCGCUCACGCAAACACCGGGACCAGAACACACGCACGCGAACGCAGCAACAUGAAGAUGGCCAGAGGCACGUGUCGUACCUCGUAAUAAUCUCCGGGGGUUGAGUGAGAGAACCAGGGGUACAUUUUGGUUCAUGAACACCGCGGCGAGCGGAGACUGCAGCGGUGGCGCCGAGGAGGAGGAGGCGUCGGGGUCUGGGACAAAGAGGGGUUGUUCCAGCGUGUCGUGAGAGAACACAGAUGGGUGAGCAGGGACUGGCUCCCGGCCACGGGACAAGCCAGAGUGGCAGGCGAGACUAGCGAGUCACCGGCCUGACGGGGAGGAGGAGGUGGUGGGGGUGGGGGAGGUGGGGGAGUUGGGUUCGCCAUGAAGGCGCGGUUAGACGAAGGCAGCGGAAGGGAUGUACAGACCAGCUUCUGGUACCAUGUGAGCUAGGCAAAAUGCACCUUGCGUGCUCUCGCUGUAUUGCCGUCAAUAUAUAGGGGUUGUUGUACAUGUACAUGAUGUGCGAGAGAGUGGGGCAACCUACGGGAGAGAGUGGACAUGUGCAUGACGUGCAUGGCCAUGCAGCCUAGACUAGCAACUGCUAACAAUAUCAUUGGUUUGUCAAAAAGUUUGUGUUCAGAGAUUAUGCUUCAAAAAUAUGUUCAGAUAUCCUACAAAAAAAACAGUGAGAUGAUAGCCCAAUUCUAGCUUCAUCUGCUUUGCCAAAUAUAUGAAUUUUCGAAAAAUUUGAGUGCAUUGUCACCUCAGAAAUGGGGUAUGGCUGUAGGGGAGGGGACGCGGCCAACGAUAGAAAGGAGUAGGUCAUCGAGGACUACAAUCAGCAGGGUAAGAUGUGUAUAUUUUCACACGAUCUUGAGUGUUUUGCAACAUGUAUUGCAUUUCCAGGGAUGAUCCUUUUGCUUAUUUAUUAUUUCCUAUGUUCUCUGAAGAUUAUUUUUGGCCCAUACAAUUUCCUGUGACUUGAAGUUUGAAACUGAAGAUAGGGCAUAUUGUUUUGGUUCUGAGUAGCUGGAGAUAUUGUGGCUUAAUGUCCCUAAAGCAGUCGGACCCUUCUAAGAUAGGUGUGAUAGAUCUGUGGAUCCUCUAGGCUUAGAUGAAUCCGGUAGUAUCCGUACUUUACCUUGUCCCGAACUCGAUGAGCUCCCGCCGGCGUCCAUCGUGAGGUGGUGACGACGGUGUGGAAGGAGAGAUGGGUGUGGCGUGGGUGGUGCUUCCCGCGAGCACCGCGCUAACCCUAGAUCGGAUGGGUUUGUAGGUGAGAGUGUGGCGGUGGCUAACCUCGUAAGUUGUGCCCCGACACCCCACCUUCCUUUAUAUAGCGCGGUUCACAGGGGGCCACCAACCAUAAUGGGUUGGGCGUCCCCGAUCAGGGCGCAUAGAUCAAGGUCCGGUGGGCCGUUGGGCCCACUCGGGAGGAGAUCAACUUAACAUUCUCCCCCUUGAUCUCAACUUUUACUUUUGACUUUAUACUUUCUAGUUUAUUUGUUUCAUCACAUAUAGGCAUGUAGAGCAUGUCUCAUAUCACAACUUAAUUGCCGAUAGAAUCAUACAGCUACAACACACGUUUUGUUUUGAAACAAAUUCAUUUACUUUUGGGCCUCUUAUGAUCCAGGAAUCAUAGGCUUUCCAUCAAACCCAUGUCGGCUAACUGUUCCUUGAACACACUAGGUGGUAAGCCUUUCGUUAGCGGAUCCGCAAGCAUAUACUUCAUACUUAUAUGCUCGAGACUUAUAGUUUGAUCUUGGAUUUUAUAUUUCACAACAUAAUACUUUAUAUCUAUUGUCUUGGAAGCAUUACUCGACUUGUUGUUGUGAGCAUAAAAUAUUGCGGGCUGGUUGUCACAGUAUAUCUUUAGUGGCUUGUGAAUACAAUCUACCACUUUCAAGUCAGGUAUAAAUUUCUUUAACCAUAUCACCUGCCCGGUGGCUUCAAAACAUGCUAUGAACUCUCCUUGCAUCGUGGACGAUGCAACUACGGUUUGUUUGGAGCUUUUCCAUGAAAUAGCUCUUCCAGCGAGAGUGAACACAUACCCAAACGUGGAUUUUCUAUCAUCUCUAUCUCCCACAAAAUCUGCGUCUGAGUACCCUUUUAUCUCUAGGGAAUCAUAUCUUGUGUAUGUUAGCAUGAUUUCCUUUGUGCCUUGUGCAUAACGCAAUGCUUUCUUUGCCAUCUUCCAGUGCUCUUGGCCUGGAUUUGCUUGAUAUCUACCGAGUACCCCGGUGAUAAAAGCUAAGUCAGGGCGUGCACACACUUGUGCAUACUGUAAACUUCCAACAACCGAAGUAUAUGGCACUGUUUUCAUUUCAUCGAGCUCGUACUGAUUCUUGGGACAUUGGUAAUUCCCAAAACUAUCGCCCUUGACUAUAGGAGCAUGUGUGGCUUUACACUCAUGCAUAUUGUACUUUUUGAGAACUUUCUCUAAAUAUACUUUCUACGACAGUCCUAAGACUCCAUUUUCCUGUCUCGGUGAAUUUCAAUGCCCAAAACAUAUGAAGCAUCACCAAGGUCUGUUGGGGCAUAGUUUAUGCCUAAGUAAUUUUGGUGAUUGAUGACAGUACCGCAAAGGACUAACCGUGUGUGUUAAGAUUUCAUAUAACACACGUCGACGGCACAAGACGACUCGCCCCCUCGUUCGUGGAACAGAAGCACGACGUUCUCUAUGAUUCUCUUUAAUUGAGUCAUAGGAAAGUCGUACAAUUAAGAGGGGAACCGUAGAGGAAAGCUUUGGGUGGAAUCAAUCUUUGCACGCGCACACUUUUCUUAUUUUCCCCUUGCCGGCAACUUUGGAGUGGCUCCCGCCUUUGUGUUUCCUUCGUCUUUGCAAAUGGUCGCCCAGCGGUAGUACCGCUGGUCCUAGCGGUAGUACCGCUGGAGUGCUAACGGUAGUACCGCUAGCCCUAGCGGUAGUACCGCUGGAGUGCUAGCGGUAGUACCGCUGCAGCCAGCGGUAGUACCGCUCCAGGAGCUUAGUACCGCCUACCUAGCGGUUGUACGUGGACGGACCUUUUUGCGAAGACUUUCUUGGCGGUGGUAGUGCUUAUGCACUACCAGGGGCCCAACGGUAGUACCGCUGGAGUGCCAGCGGUAGUACCGCUGUAGCCAGCGAUAGUACCGCUGCAUCCAGCGGUAGUACCGCUAGACUCGGGCUAUGAGUGGGAAAACGGUUGGAUUCCCCCCCCCACUAUAUAAAGGGUUCUUCUAGCUGUGGAACCCUAUCUCUUAUCCUCCCAAGCUCCAUUGUUGCUCCCUAAGCUUAAAAGUGCCCGAUCUCUCUCCCUAGCCAAUCAAACUUGUUGAUUCUUCAGGGAUUGGUUGAGAAGGCCUAGAUCUACACUUCCACCAAGAGAAAAGUUGAUUCCCCCAUCAAUCCCUUGCGGAUCUUGUUACUCUUGGGUGUUUGAGCAUCCUAGACGGUUGAGGUCACCUCGAAGCCAUAUUCCAUUAUGGUGAAGCUUCGUGGUCUUGUUGGGAGCCUCCAAGCUUUGUGUGGAGUUUGCCCCAACCUUGUUUGUAAAGGUUCGGUCGCCGCCUUCAAGGACACCUAUAGUGGAAUCACGGUACCUUGCAUCGUGCGAGGGCGUGAGGAGAAUACGGUGGCCUUAGUGGCUUAUUGGGGAGAAUUGUGCCUCCACACCGCUCCAACGGAGACGUACUUCCUGUCAAAGGGAAGGAACUUCAGUAACACAUCCUCGUCUCCAUCGGUUCCACUUGUGGUUAUCUCUAACCUUUACUUUGUGUUUUCUUAUGUUGUUGUCUAUCUCUUACUUGUCUUAGUAGCUCUCGUUGUUAGCUUCAUUAGGGUUCACCCCGUUGUUGUAAUAUUUGUGAACCUGUAUGUUGUUUACCCUAACUUGCUAAGUUUAAUUAAAAAGUGGUCGUUGCCUAUUCACCCCCCUCUAGUCAACCAUAUCGAUCCUUUCAAGGUCUUUCAUAUCAAAGUUUGAGGAUAAAAACUUCUUUGUUUCUGGUAGUAGACUAAUACAAUUGCUUGCAGGCUAGAUAUCAUCCACAUACAAGAUUAGGAAAAUAUAUUUCCCACUUUUAAACUUUGCAUAAUUGCAGUUAUUCUCAACAUUUUCUUGAAAUCCGAACCUUUUAAUAGUAUCGUUAAACUUUAGAUACCACUGUCUAGAGGCUUGCCUUAGUCCAUAAAUGGAUUUCUUUAGGCAGUAUCCCAUAUCUUCCUUGCCUUCCAUGAUAAAACCCUUGGGUUGUUUCAUGUAGACAUCUUCUUCUAAAUUUCCAUUUAGAAAUGUCGUCUUUACAUCCAUUUGAUGCAGCUCUAAAUCAAAAUGAGCAACUAGUGCCAUUAUGAUUCUGAAGGAAUCCUUACAAGAGACUGGAGAAGAAGUCUCAUUGUAGUCUAUCCCUUCUCUUUGUGUAAAUCCUUUUGCCACAAGUCGGGCUUUAUACUUUUCUAUAUUCCCACUAGAGUCAUACUUUGUUUUGUAGACCCAUUUAUAGCCUACUGUCUUUGCUCCUUUAGGAAUAAUUUCUAAGUCCCAAACAUUGUUGGAACUCAUCGAUUUCAUCUCAUCUUCCAUUGCCUCUAGCCAUUUUGAUGAGUGAGGGCUUUUAAUGGCUUCUUCAUAUGUGGUGGGAUCACCUUCCAUAUGAACCAUUUCUGUGUUAUAAACUUUAUAAUCAGUAGAAAUAGCUGGUCUUCUUGUUCUAUUAGACCUUCUAAGUGCCUCAUUUUCUGGCACACUUUCUACUAUUUAUUGUUGCACUUCCCUUUCAUGAUCAACAACAGGUUCAGACGGCUCCUGAAGGACAGGUUCCGGGUCUUCUCCCAUAGUUGUCAUCGUUGGAGUCACAACGGGUAGUGAGAAAAAUGGCUCUUGAAUCAUCGGAAUGGGUGCAUGCACCCUCUUCUCCUCAAGAUCAAUUUUCUCAGCUACCAAGCCCCCCCCCCUCAUCAUUUCGUCCUCUAAGAAGACCGCAUGUCUCAUUUCUACAAACUUUGUCUACCUUUCAGGACAGUAGAAACGAAAACCUUUCGAUCUGUCAGGAUAGCCAAUGAAAUGGCAACUCACUGUUUUGGGAUCUAACUUUCCAAUGUUUGGAUUAAACAUUUUGGCCUUAGCUAGACAUCCCCACACCCUGAAGUGUUGUAGGGAUGGCACACUUCCUGUCCACAGCUCGUGCGGUGUUUUGGGCACUGACUUGCUUGGUACUCUGUUGAGAAUGUGAAUGGCGGUUUUAAGCUCCUCCAUCCACAAUCCCAAUGGAAGGUCAGAGUAACUCAUCAUGCUGCGCACCAUAUCCAUAAGGGUACGGUUGUGCCUUUCAGCUACCCCAUUUUGUUGAAGGUCGCUCGACAUUGAGUACUGGGCAACUAUGCUAGUCUCUUGCAGGAACUUUGCAAAAGGUCCAGGGACUUGGCUAUAUGGAGUGUGUCGACCGUAGUACUCCCCCCACGGUCAGACCUCACUAUCUUUAUCUUUUUGUCAAGCUGAUUUUCAACUUCAGCUUUGAAUAUUUUGAAUUUGUCCAAUGCUUCAUUUCUUUCUUUGAUUGGAUAAAUGUAACCGAAGAGGGAGUAAUCAUCUAUAAAUGUUAUGAACGAAUCACAACCAUCCACACUUUUCACUGGAAAUGGCCCACAAAUAUCAGUGUGAAUAAUUUCCAGUGUUCCUAUGCUUCGGUUUGCACCCUUCUCUAUGUGUUUUACAUACUUUCCUUUAAUGCAAUCUAUGCAUUGUUCUAAGUCAAAGAACUCCAACUAAGGAAGAAUUUCACUUUUCACUAAUCUUUCUACCCCCUGGAAAUAUGGCCCAAGCGAUAGUGCCAUAAUUUCGAGGAGUCGUGAGUUCUCUUUCUUUUCUUUUGUUCUUUGUUCGACGAGGAACUAUGCUCAUUCACAUUAUUUGCAUAAUGCACUUUUUCACGAAGUGAUAACAUAUAAAGCUCAUUAUGGAGGAAGUCAUCGCCUACAUAAUCAUUAUUAUACCAAAAGGUACAUUUGCCAUGUCCAAAAAAGCAUUGAUACUUGUCUUUAUCCAAGCAUGAAACACUUAUUAAAUUCCUAUUACAUGAAGGCACGAAUAGUACAUCUCUAAGCAAAAGCUUGAAUCCUUUGGUUAGCUCCAAGGAGACGUCACCUACAGCUUCAACUUCUGCUUGGACACCAGUUGCGACUUCAAUACUUCUUUCUUUUCUGCGCAUGGUCCUCGUCGAACUGAAUCCGUGUAAAGAGUUUGCAACAUGAACAGUUGCUCCUGAGUCAAGCCAUCAAGUAGAUUUCGAAAACUUUAAAUACAGAGAUUCAUUAACAAAGGAAACGAUGCCGUUACCUCUCUUUGCCAUGAAGGCCUUUAGCCAGGCAGGGCAAUUCUUCUUGUAGUGCCCUGUCUGCUUGAAGUAGAGACAAGUGUCCUUGUCCACUUGAAUAGUCUUUUGCUGAUAAUGAGUAGGAGCUUUUCCAUAAUUUUUGCCAUGUGGCUUUGAGGGAGAACCUUUGUUGGGUUGGAAAACCUUUUUAUUUUUCUUCACAUAGUUCAGGGAGCCACCAUGUGAAGCUUUGAUUCUCUCCUCUUUGUGUGAACAUAUGGCUAUGACCUUUUCUAUGUUCAUGUUUCAGGCUGCAAGUUGUAGUUCACAACAAAGGUUUCAAAUUCCUUUGGCAGCGAAGCCAUGACCAGGUGGACGAGGAGAGCUGGUUUGAUCUCUAGAUCCGCGUCCAUGGGCUUGAGCUUGGCUGCCGUAUUGCUCAUCCGUAGGAUGUGAUCUCUUAUGCCAUGGCCACCUCCAAUGUAGCUCUCUGUGACCAGUUGUUUUAUCAACUGGGUGACAUAUGUCUUUGAAGAGCCAAUGAACUGACUCUUUAUCUUGGUUAGCAUCUUCCUUGUGGAAGUGCACUCUGCAAUUGAGCUCACAAUGGUGGUCUCAAUUGUGUUCUUUAUAAAUGCCAAACAUUUUUUGUUGGCAUUUAUCCACUUUCUGUUGUUUAUGGAGUAUGACAUCUCCUCAUUGGCACUAUCCCACUUCUUUUUCUCCCAAGCAUCAUCAUCAUCAUCAGCAUCUCUGACUGGGUCUGGAGGUGCAACCGGCUGUGGUUCCUCCAGAACGCAGUCCACCUCAGCAAUGACGAGAGCCAUGUCAACUUUCUUCCUCCACUCAGAGUAAUUAUCACCUCUGAGUGUAGGAACAUCCUUGAGGCAACUCAUUCGGUGGAAACCUCCUGAAAUCACAAUUUAAGCGAGAUCAGUACGACAAUUAUAUGCAUUAAUUAUCGUUGGUUAAAAUAAACAUACAAUUGCCUAUGCAAAUAAAUCUACAUUACCGUUGGGAAAAUGAUAGAAAUAAAUGCACCUUUUAUGCCAAUAAUGCAACAAGAUUAUGUUAUUAACAACGUUGGUCAGAAAAAUAACAUAACCAUAUUUCAUAUAUCGCUUAGGAGCGGAAAUGUGAAUUUAAAAAUUCAUGUACUUUUCUACUUUACAGAAAAAAUAUUUUGUUAUAAUUUAAAAAAAUCAUGAACUUUAUAAUCCCUUUUAUAAAAUCCAUGAACUUUUCUUUUUCUGAAAAUCUCCUUUUAUUUUCGGAAACAUUUAUUUUUCUUUGCAGAAAAAUUAAUAUUUCUUUUCUGUCUAUUUUUACAAUAACUUUGAACUUUUCCUUUUCUAUUUUCUUAGCAAGAUUUUCAUCGAAAAAUAGUGCAUAGAAUGAACAACUUUGAAAUCUGCCUAAAAAUGCCUAGAGAAACUGAACAAAAAUGGCAGAAACUUUUUAUAAAAAAAGAAAGACUUCGGCCGAAAUCGGCCUAGCCUAGCCUCGGCCCGGCAGGCCAACCCUAUCCAGCCGGCCUCGCCUCACUGGGCCUUCCCAGCUCCCGCCGGCCCGUGGCCUCGCCUCGGCCUUUAGCACAGCCUAUCGAGCCGACCUCGCCCCACUGGGCCUUCUUAGGCUCGUCCUGGCCUGGGCUGGCCUUCGCUCCCGCCGGCCUAUGGCCUUUCUUCGGCGCGGCUCGCCUCUCCCCUUCGGCCUGUGGCCUCUCUGCCUUGGCCCAACUGGCCCACGCCACCUAGGGUUUAGAAGCUGCCGUCGGAUUUCAUCUGAUGGUCCAGCGUGCCAAUCGGGAGUAUAAAGGGGGCGAGGGAGGAAAAACCCUAGCCAUUUUCUCCCUCCAGCGCCGCUCUCUCUCCCUCCUGUCUCACGCACGCAGCAUAUUGGCGCCGACGCCGGUCACAAGGGUAGCUGCGCACCUCGUGCUCGCCCCUCUUGCCGUGGCUGCCUUUAGCGCUGCGGCCUUGAGCCGGCCGCCGGCAGCGGCGACCAUGGCUCCCUCGCCGCGCGCGCCAUGCUGCUCUGCCGCUGGUUCCCUCCCCCUCGCGAUGCGGGCUUGAGCUGGCCGCCGUCAGCGGCGACCAAAGGUCCCGCGCCGCGCGCGCCAUGUUGCUCCUUCCUCUCCUCGGAGCCAUGGCCUUCCCCUCGCCGGCUGCGCACACGCCUUGCGGUGGGUGCGCCGCCGUCGAGCGGUCGGCUGCGGAUCCCUUUUUCUUCCUAGUUGUUUUGCCGUCCACCACCAUGACCAGAGAAACCCCCGGCUGCGUGACGCGACGGCGCCAUCGCCGUCCUGUUUGCCGGCGUGUACGAGCACCUCUAGGGUGAACGCACUGUUGUCAAACGGCUCGGUGGUGGCGCCCUUUGCCCCUGUGGGGUUAACUUUCUUUGCAUGUUCCCCUUUUCUUUGCAUUUUUUUGCUUUCCUUUUUCGGAUCCAAUCAGAUUUAUUCUUUGCCUCCGAAGAGGUAGGUUCUUCUUCCCCAUACCUCGGCUUGCCGAUGCGUGUGGGACUCGAGAGGAACAGGCGCGGCCGAGGCGGCUCUCUUUGCCGGAGAGGGCUCCGAUGAAGCUUUCUUUUUUCCUUUGAACUUUGCCCUUGUAGGGUUCAAAUCGGGGAUGGGGAAAUCUAUUUGCUUUCGUUUUCUUUCAACCGAAACGCAUAUAAUGCCUAGUUGCUCAUGAUACCAUUGAUAUAUCCGUGGAUCCUCUAGGCUUAGAUGAAUCGAGUAGUACCCGUACUUUACCUUGUCCCGAACUCGAUGAGCUCCCGCCGGCGUCCAUCGUGAGGUGGUGACGACGGUGUGGAAGGAGAGAUGGGUGUGGCACGGGUGGUGCUAUCCGUGAGCACCACACUAACCCUAGAUCAGAUGGGUUUGUAGGUGGGACUGUGACGGCGGCGAACCUCGUAAGUCGUGCCCUGGCACCCCACCUUUCUUUAUAUAGCGCGGGUCACAGGAGCCCAUCAACUAUAAUGUGUUUGGCGCAUAGAUCAAGGUCCGGUGGGCCGUUGGGCCCACUCGGGAGGAGAUCAACUUAACAAGGUAAGGCUGAUUUAUUCAGCAAUUCUUGCACCACAGUACAUGAAAAGGAACAUGUCUACCUAUCAACACCAUUUCUUGAGGAGGAUUGUUGUUUCCCCUUUAUUUUGUCACACCUUUCAUGAGGUGCAGUUUUUCUAGGUCACUGUACAUACGAGGCAUCAUUGCACUUUUAGAUAGUACAUUAGCGCUGAUGGUGCUAUCUUGAAUAUCUACUUUUGCAUUUUUCAAUUUUCUAUUAUGCUAUUUAUUAUGUCAUAGAUUAUGACUUUACACAUGUAAUGCUGAUUUCAGAAUUUCCCUUGAUUUGUUUCGCAAAUGUUUUGAGGGAGUGUUGCGUAUUAGGAAACCCCUUGGAUAGCUAAGCCGUUGCUUCAGCUCACUAAUAUAAACAUAUAUUUCCAACAUAAGAUCUUUUGGGAUUGAAGUUCUGAUGAGAAAGUAGAUACAGAUUGAUGGACAUGAGCUAUCCGUGCUUCACGCUGGACAGCUUCUCAGUAACUCUUUGUGAUUUACUUGCACUGUUGUUCUUUGCAAAAUUGUUCUUUGCAAUCCUAAAAUGGUUUCUCACAAAAUGAAAAAAAUACAUUCUAAAAAUGUAGGCACACGGAGUGAAGCGCAUAUAUAAUUCUAUUAUAACAUAGAUCAUGUUUGCGUGUAUCGAAAGUCUAUUCGUCAUCCAAUAUGCAGAAUAAGUUAUUCCUCACCAAAGAUAAUGUUAUGAUCGUUUCAUAAGUAAAUUACAUUUGAAAUACAAAUAAUUACAUUUAUAUUGAUUCACUAUGUAAAUUUUACAUAAAAAAUAAAAAUAUAGGUCAUAUGACCAGAAAAAUUACAUUUCGUGUCUAUUUUACACUAUGUUAUUGUGUUUAUAAUUUUACGUGACAUAAAAUACUUUUACGGUGACUAUUUAUUUUCUUAUGGUCUCUUUUUACGUAUGAAGUAAGCCAAAAUUUAUGAAACAUAAAAUUAUAGUGCAUUGCUGUUAAAACAGAGGGGGUGAAGAAUAACUAUUCCUCGUCCAGGGUGACGAAUAGCGUUACCCUAUAUAUAUAUAACCAGUUUAUUAUGCUAAUAUUAAUAUUAGCAGAAUAGUUAUUCUGCUAACAUUUCUGAAAAGCACGCUCAAUGGUAGUGCACUGCAUUCCUAUCAAAACGAGCACUGCAAUGUCAAUAGAAAAAACUACACGCGUUUUUUUGACAACGCUUUGGCUCAUGUGUUAUCGGAACAAGGCGUAUAAUGUACCGUUGUAUUGCUACGGAAAAUUCCCAACUUCGUCAUGUUGAACACUUUUCGAGAUUCUAUGCGGUUUGUGAGCAGUUUUGAAAAUAGUGGGCGCAUGACGGGCCGUGCGACUUUUCUAAACCGCUCAUAGAAAUGAAUCAAACGAUAUGGCAUUGGAAAGAUAUCGUCAAGACACAUCUUUUUCAUGUAUAUUACUCUCUCUAAUUCCUUAUGAUUUGAGAGUAAUUUCAAAUUUACUAAAAACAAAAUUUUAUUUUGCAAUUUUUUUAUUUUUUCUGUACGUUUUUUUCCUGCAGUUUUUAAAGCAUUCGGCGGAACGACGCGUAUGAUACGGUGUUCAAAAGUUCUGGAAUAGAUGCAACUUUCAUAUGUUAGCCAUUUGUUGAGAUUUCUCGCGGUUUUACAUGAUUUUGAAAACGUUGUGGCUGCGGCAUCACGUUCAUAAGCAAGUAGACUGACUAAAGCAUGCAUCUACUACUAUUACUCCACCCAUCAACCGAUAUCCAAAAUGCAUCUAGAGUAUUAAGUAAAAUAGAGUAAUUCUUGGAGAAUAAUGACAUGAUGUAGACAAAGAAAAUCAAAUUAAUAUGAAUCAACCCCAUCAUUUUAUCCUUAGUGGCAGAAAUACGAAUAUGUGUCUUAUCCCCUACUUUGUCUAUAUGAUAGAGCACCACAAGAUUGAACCCACUACAACACAACUUUCUUAUUGAAGAUAGAUCAAUCUAGUUGGCAACGAAAUCAAUAGGUCAGAGAGAAUUAUGAAGCUAUAAUGAUCAUGCAAAUAAGAAUCACAUAGUAAUUCAGAGAAGGCUCAAAUAUUUUUCAUCAAUAAUCUGAACAUAAACCCACAAUUCAUAGGAUCGCAACAAACGCACCACACAAAGUGAUUAAAUCGAAUAGAUCAUCGUGAAGAUGCGAUGGACUUUGUAUUGAAGAAUGUAGAGAGAGAGCCAUCUAGGUACUAGCUAUGGAUCCGUAGGUUUGUGGUGAACUACUGACACAUCACCAUGGGAACAGUAAGGUUGAUGUAUGAGGCCCUUCGUGAUCGACCCCCCUCCACUAGGACACUGGAACAGUGCUCGAGAUGGGCACACGACAGAAUAGAGACUGGCAGGAGCAAAAACAAUUAUUUUGGGAGAUCCCUGGGGUUUUUGGAAUAUAUGAGAAUUUAUAAACCAGAGUACGAGCUUAGGAGAGCCGGGAGGGGGGCACAAGCUAACAAGGUACGGUCGCACCCCCUAUGCGCGCCCUGUUCGCUUGUAGGUCCCUCGUGCAGCCCAUGGUCUUCUCCCAAAGCUUCCAAGUAUUAUUUUGGUCCAGAAAAUAUCAUCAAAAAGUUUUGGGAUAAUUAUAUUUAUGCCCCUAGUUAUGUUCCACUCGGCUGUUUUACCCCUAAUUUUCAAAAGUCCCCAGUUCUAUCCAAGCCACCUCGCUCCUCUUAUGCUUUUGCCCUUUGACUGUUUGACCAUCCGUUGAAAAACUUCAUAACUAAUUCAUACUAAUUCAUAAAAAUGCAAAUAAGAUACCAAAAUGUUCGUAAAAACAUCACCUAUAUGUCAAUGUCAUUUGCAUUCAUGACAAAGGUGUUGUAAAGUGCCCAUCCAAAUUUUACCUCUUAUGAUACCACCAUGAAUAGUAAAAUAUAAAAAAAAUCAAAAC